AGUUUUUUUUUUUUUUUUUUUUUUUUGGGGUCGACUAGUUUUGUAGUUGCAACAACUAUCCACCUUCUGGAGCACUCCAGGGUCAGAAACUUACAAAUAUAUUUGUGCCUUUCAUGUACAAGUAGAUGUAUAUAUGGUAGUAUAUCAAGUAGAUGAAUAUCAAGUCGCUUUUUGCUCCGUUAAGCUAUUUGAAGAAUACUCGAAGCAAUGAAUGGCCAGUACAAAAUCAAACUGUGCAUGUAGAAACUUUUUUUUUUUUUUUUUUGGGUAUGGAAGUAGACUUUCUACAGCUUAUUGCAUUGCUUUACAACCACCAAUUUAACGUCCAGGCAAAGAACCAUUGCAGUUAAUGCAUGUCCAAUUGUUCGUGAACAGUUAAGUAGCUGCAUCUGCUAUGUUUACAUUUAGCAACUGAUGAAAUUACACUCCCAAAUUUACAAGGAAAAUACAUCUUUGAAAGCAAUACAAUGUUGAUUUACAAGGUAAUUUUUCCGUGCUGAUUAUUUUUCUCGGUAAUGGAACAGUAACUAACUAAUCCCAUAUCAUAACAACAGCUAUGACUCCCACACCUAAAAGCACGGCAAGAAGCUUGAAAAAUGGAGUGUCAAAGUAGAGUUUAGCAUGUGGCUUGAAGCCUUUGGUGACGAGAUGAUUGAUGGCAACAUAGAUGAAAACGCCAGAGGCGAUUCCCAUGGAGAUGGCAAAAAUCCAAUCUGCCGUGCGCCCUUGGGUAGUGGCGUCGAUGGCAAUGCCUAUGCCCACCCAAUUGGGCUCGACACAGCAAAGGCAAAUGAAUAAGCAACUGUCGUCAAAAAUGGCCUCUUUGGUAUCAUCCUUAGAAGGGCAAUCCCCAUUGCAAUUGCUGCAAAUAUCUUGUGCAGUGAAAUUGUCCACAGGUUCUUCCAUGCAUCUGACUUGGUAGCUGAGCCAAUGUUUCACGAAGGGUCUCUUUUAGUUUUAAAUUCUCAUGAAAUUGAUAGUUAAUGGUGUAUGAUUUGAGCCCUAAUGAACUUUAUGCUGAAAGUGCAAUAUAAUAAUUGGCUAACAAGGUUGGGAAAAAAAAAAAAGAGGAGUUGAGGCAUUGCACCCUUAUAUACAUCUUGUGAUAUAGAGAAAGGAUCUGAUCAACAGAGCAUAACAUGCACUUCUCGGAAUAGCGAGCAAAAAUUCGAUGAUGAUCAGGUUAGAGUAAUCACGCAUAUUAACAUUUAACAAAUAGAUAAUUGAGAUUUGAUGCCAUGCAACUUUAAGUCAUGCUAGUAAAGAUCAGCUGGCUAGAAGUGCACAGAAAUGGUAGAAGAUUAUGUUAUAGAUGUUACGCGUGAUUCUAGAACACAAAUAAAGUUUGCCAAGUGCAGAAGUUUCGACGAUUAACAAUAAUAUUACGUAUCUCUAACUUGUUUCAAAUGUGUAAAUAUUGUUGCUUACCGCUACUCCAACAGCAAUCCCCUCGAAAACUGAGUGGAAACACAGAGCUAGGAUGAGAAGUAUGGUAUCCCCAACUGACGACGUUUUCACAGAACUGGGUUGUGAUGCAUUCCCUCUUCUUCACCGUAUCCCCAGAUGCUGCCCUGCCUUCUUCAACUUCGACUCUAUUAUCUUUCUCAGCACCCUUUGUGACCAAGAUCACUAUGCAAUCACCAAACAUGGUCAGAAGAUAGCCCGCGGAUGCCAACAUGAAAGAAAAUGGAUAAGAUUUUGUUGUUAGAUCAGCAAAAGUCGAGGUUGAGUCGCUCAGGAAGUGCAUAAGAGAAGUUCCAGAAACACCCCUCCAGCAAAUUGAGUUCCAUAAGUAGGAAGCUUUCGUUCCAUCGGAAAAAAUAAGGGGAGACUCCACCAGCAAAUGUGCUAGCAAAGAAAAUGAUCAAACACAGAUUUUGACGAGAAUUAGCCCUUUUGAGUGCAGAUCUGUGUUGUCACCAUCACUACUGCUUUCUUGAUCAUCGCCGCCAUGAGCACCAAUCCUGAAGCAUUGGAGGAUAAAACUGAAAGGAGAAGUAUGAUCAAGAAAGUUGACUUGGGCAGCCGGUCCACGGGAGAAGCCAUGUACGACAAAGAAGCUCUCGAGGAAAUUAACUUUGUUGUUUAAACAAUUAACAUUUUCGUCGUACGCUUUAUAAUGUAUAGGAGUGUACUUCAUGAAGAUUAAGCUUCAGGAUCAAUGACAACAAGACUCUGUUGCUAAAAUUUUGUAGUACAGCUUUGACUUUUACAAGGUUGUACUACACAUCCUGGACUUCAUAAUUUCUACUGGCCGGCUAUCAUUUGUGCGUUGACAAACAAUUCAGGCCAUUUCACGUACAAUAGGAUACAACGUAUAGUACAGAAUAUUACAGAGAGCCUGUGGCGAGCAGGGACUACAAGAAAAAAGAGUUUCAGUUGUUUUCGUGCACAGUGGACAUGAGAUAGAGCAUGGAUGUCUCAAAAAGCUCAAAGGGUUUUUGAUUUAAUACAGGGAAACAAGAAAUGUCUUGUGUUUUCACAAUGAUCGUUGGGUAGAACCGAGAUGGUUUGGCCGAAAAUCCUGUGGUGGAACGCUUUCACAGAAAGAUGAUGUGCAAAUUUGUUUCAGUGAUGCAUGGAAUUGAAAUUUGUUGUCAAUCUAUCUAUUUUGAAGGGAAAAAGUACAAAUUGUAUUCGAGUCAUUCAAACGCAAAAAAUCUUUUCUAGACGAUUUGGUAGCCAAGGUUAGGAUAACUAGUCCUUGCAACUCGACCACCUUCUUUAAUCUAAACAAAUCGCCUUGUGUCCUAGUACAAGAAGCCCAUAAACAAUACUGACAUUCAGCACAAAUAAAAGAAGCCCAUAACAGUUUUUCCAUGAAUUGGCCGACACCCCUAGCUUUUGUCGCGCGGCCGCUUGGUGAAUUAGCAAGAAUCACGGCUUAGCGACUAAAUUCUCUGUUCAUGAUGGAUUGACUUGUUAGAUUUGCAGGCAACAUGACAAGGUCGUGUAACAGAAAAUCCUUUGUUGUUUUGGAAAUGGGAAUGAACCUAUUGGUUAUUCUACUUCAGAUAAAUGCAGAUCGAGCCAGCCAACAUUUACAUACAAUUCUAACAUUUCUUCAGCUAAUAACUGCAGACCACUUCUUAUAGUAAUAGCAUUAAACUAUAUCCAUGGUUGGGAGUACAGAACAGAUGUAUACAUUCGGCUUGUGUUUUUACAUAAGCCAUACAUCGUCCAGAAUAAGGUGCAUUAAAGUAGCACUGUUUAUUGCAUAGAGUUUGCAGCAUGCAAAAGUCUCUUGAAAGACUCAAGCAUCCAUGCUCACGCAUUGCAUUCACCCAGCCUCGUAGAUCUGCUGGAAAUCUACAAACUGGGCAUGCAACUCGUUUUCCCACACCGGCAUAGAUGCACUCCAGAUGAAACUGUAACAGAGGACAGCCAAACAUGUCUGUGUGAGACUUAAAAUGCAUCUAACAUACAACUUUCAACUUCACAACUAUAAAAAUCUAAGACGAGCUGAGAUUAUUGUUAAAUCUCUCCGGCUUCUCCUUAAUCGCUCCGAUUCAAUAUUUAUUAAAUCCAUGCAUCAAAAGAAAGCUUAAUUUCAUCCCCAUGCUCUAAAAAUUACAGCAGCUGCUUUUCAGAUGACCACCAAGAAUGCAUACCAUCUUGAGUGGAUGCACGUUAGUAUUUGUUACCAUUGUUAUAUCCAAAUACAGAUCAAACAUCAAGCUUUGAUGUGGUCGAGUUGAUUUAUAGGGCAUGGAUUUCAGAUAGAGAUUAUGGUCUAGUGAGGGAAUUGAGUAGAACAGGAAAAACACUGAGUUUAAAUUUUGAUCCAGAAGGGGCAGAAGCCCGAUGCAAACAUGGUGAGGUAAGAAGAGGCACUCCAGCACCAAGUCGACCUGUGCACAUGCCACAUAGCAAUUCCACCUCCAGAGCUUCAAUGUACAUGUCUACAGUAUUCUUGCUGGCAACUAACUUGUUAAAUGGACAAAACAGAACCAACGGAUGCAUUUUGAUAUAUUACAGGCACCACCCAAUGAUACAGAUAAAAGAAUCAUGUAUUCAGGAAGAAUUAGCUGUCGAUGAUGAUACUGCAACAGCAGGAAGCACACUUUUGAAUAACAUAUGCUGCAUAAAGUUAAAAUUUGCAUUCAUUGGAUAAAACAGGUUACUGCAUCUUGAUUUGGAAAGUGUGCUCGAAGGGCGUAUUUUAGUCUAAAAUAUUUCAUAGAAUAGCCUCAUCUAAGCCUUCAAUCGAAAUUGAGCUGAAAGGUUCAAGACCAGAUUAAUGCCAAAAGAACACUGACUUGGUUUCUGGAUAUCAGCUUGAUUUGCAUUUCAUGUUAAAAACCAACAUGUGACCCCAGAACAGGACAUUAUCCAAACGGACGAGAAAGCAACGCAUAUUAUUGAUCUGGGUAUUUUUAUUAUUUCGAAGAACAGAAAGCAAUACUAAAAGUCCUAAAGUAACAAGACAAAGCAAAGAGAGCCGAACACAUGCAGAGGGAGUGAGAAACUUAACAUAUGAAGUUUGUAGAUAGCAGCAAGUUCAUCAACUAUAGGAAGCUCCUUAUGGGUAUCUCAACCUUCCCCUCUUUUCUGUCUACAUAUCCUAGACUUUUUCUUUAAAUUUUCUAUGAAAGCAAACAACCAAGAAUAACUCAAUACUGUGACUUCCAGCAAUUGAAAAUUAUUAGAUAACAAACAUAACAGUCCUGGAGUUUAUAGACAAAAUGCAGUUAGAGUGCCUUAUCUUGCAAGAGUACAUAAUAACCCCAUUGGUGGCCUCUAUUUUUCCACUAUCUGAUAUCAAACAACUAGACUAAAAUAGAAUAACAAUAAUAGUAAUAAUAAUAAUAAUAAUAAUAGCCAGAGCAUUUUUCUGUGUUAAGUUAGCAAUGUUAAGCAGCUUAAAGUGGCAUUAUCAUUUAAGCAAGACUUUAAAUGAUUUUUAUUCACUUUAAGCAUAUCAGAGUGGCCUUAUCACAAGUAAUGAUUUUUAUUCACUUUAAGCAUAUCAGAGUGGCCUUAUCACAAGUAAAUGAUAUGCUUAAAUGACAAUGCCACUGUGAUAUCAGAGUGGCAUUAUCACAAGACUUGCUUAAUGUGAAUAUCAGGGUGGCAUUAUCAUUUAAUGAUAUUUAUUGGAAAGGUUUAAUAUUCUUUUUUCUUUUUUAACUAUUCUUUUAAGAUUUUAUAGCAUUCCUUUCUGUCAAAUGCAUUAUCCAACCAAAAUCAAUGAUCUACCAAUGAAAAUUCAACUGUCUAUGGCUAGAUAUACAUAUGCUAAGACAAAUUAAGACAACCUAGUUUUCUUCCGGAUUAGAUACUAAAACACCUCAGAACCUUUUGCUUGUUUAUCCCUAAUGAAGUAGAUGGAUCAGAUCAAUAAAUCAACCAACCAACAUAAGAUUACUAUGUAACAUGACAACUGAACUUAGACAAAAGCAAGCAGAGAUAAAGAAAGCUUUUCAUACCAAUUCCAGAUAUGAUGCAGCCAGGGAAGAUUUGACACCAACAACCACAAAAGAAAUGUAGUGAAAGAGAGAGACACGCACACACAAAAAGGUGUCAGUUAUAUUGUGGCGCUCUCAUUUGUCUGAACCUAAAAGCUUUUACUACUAGUUUUGUGUCAAUGUGAGGCAAGUAGUGGCUGACAUGUAACCUUCGCCUUAACUCUGGCACUGCCACAACCAUUUCCAGCAUGCAAUACAUGUUUCAGAUUCAGGAAUCUUUGCAAUAGAACCUAUCAAUUUCACUAUAUUCACUGUGAUCUUAUUCUUGAACAAUAACCUGAAGGCCCUCUUUUUCCGUUUGCUUUUCCUGUUGUAACUGAGAGGAGAGAUUUUUUACCACAUAUGAUCCAUUUAAUUUUGAUUCAGAUUUGUACAACAAAAUACAGUAAAGGAGUCAAUUUAAAACAAAAGUUAGACAUAUACACAGCAUUACUAAAAAGGUUGCAGGUAGGCACUCGAGUCAUUCCAAGGGCUCAUGAAUUAGGCAUUUCCAAGCCAAAUACUCCCCAGCAAACAGCAGUUUUUGUGAUUUCACAUGUCUUGAGUUCAAGUGCAAGGAAAACACUACUUCACAGAAGAAGCAAAGGCCAGGCAAUAAAAUGCAUGCGGCUCCCUAUGCUUAAAGCAUCCAUGUAGCAGGAUUUCCACCGUUAGAUUGUAUUUCUCCUUGAGUUACAUCCACAUAAGGCAGAUAUGGGCUGCUGUCAAGGCAAAUUAUGGUACAUGCCUCGAGUGCGAUUAGAAGGCCAAGUUUUUAAAGCAAACACCUUAAGAAAGAGCAACGCCCCAGUCAAAAAUGCAUAUUUACUAUGCCAGAAAAUAGGUACAUAAAUAUAACAAAGUGACCAGGCUACAUAUCACAUACAAAAACCAUCAUAUAUGUUUCCGGUACCACUUACACAUGCACAAGUUCACAGCAUGACUUUCCAUGACAUUGUAUUACAAUAGAAUUUAUUCAUGGGCAAAUAUGUGGUCAUUAUUGUCUUUUUCUCAACUGUCUAACUUUUGAGCCCCAUUUUUAACAGUUUUGAAUAUGAAUUCCAAAAGAUCCAAGUAUAACAGGUCUUACAACUCAGUAAGUUUUUACCUCUCAAUAACUUUGCAGACCUCAUAAAUUCACAAUGAACAGCUCCGUCAAGAAAAUUAAUUCCCUCACUAGGUGAAUGGAUUAGAAGAACUGGAGAAAAAUUUUUAACUUUACCAUCUCAUGUAUGUACGUAAUAUGCCGUGUCUCUAAAUAUUUUCGUUUUAUGGAGUAAGCGGCAACAAGCCCGCCUUUCUUUUGAAUAGUCUACUAGGUCAGCUACUUUCUAGUGUCAGUCAAAUUUAACCAAAAAAAUAAAGGCAAACCAAAACUAGCAUAUACAGAUGCAGAUUUGGAUUCUACUCGUUUUCUUUCUAAGAACUAUAAAAACAGUGAGACUGAAUCAUCUUACACUCAAGCCAGAUCACAAAGACACACAAGUCUAAAACAACAGCACAAGUAAAAAAGUUGUUUAGAUACCACCAUUGCAGGAAUUAAGAAUACAUGGAACCAUAAAGGCAAAACUCCCAUAUUAACUAGCGAGGAGAACACAUAGAGCCUCUGAUCAUUCUUUUGAUGCUUACUGCAAACCUAAUUUGCAGUCUUUAACUGUUUUUAAUUUCCUGACUGAUCGAUCUACAUACUAAACAACUCCAAAUCUCCAACAGCUGUACAACAAUGAAGCAUUAACACAACCUAGAAGAGAAUAAGAUCCAUUUAAAUCCUUGGGACCCAAUUAGAUAUUCAUCUUAAACAACAUAGGUAGAUUUUUUAGAUGUAGGGACAUAACUUCCUGAGACACCACAUAACUGUCAUACCAAAGUAUUAUCUACUCUCCAAAUCUUAAAUACAUCUUAUGACUUUCUUAUCAAAAUAAGAACAACACUAACAAUUUUGUCUACUUGCCUCCACCCUCUUUAUUUGAUUGUUUGAAGGUCAGAUUCACAGCAGCCCCCAUCAAAAGAAAGAAAGGAAAUGGAGGAUUAGAUGGUAGCAAAGCAAAUCCGAAGUUCACAUUCAUCCUUGCAGGACUCAGAAAAAUUAACUGGAUCUUAAGAUAGAGUCUCUAACUUAGUGGUUAAGAUAAUAAUCUAAGCCCUUUUCAAGUGUGUGAAGCAUGAAAAUACAUCUCAGAGUUAAACAAACAAGAUGUCUGUUAACGGACAGGAAGAAUUAAGUGGCUUAUCACAUUAAGCUGUCAUAACAGAUACUGUAAUUACAAAACUUUAGCCUGCAAGUUACAUCAGCAAAAGCCAAUAAUCCACAUUGUGUAACUCCUUUUAACUAGAGUCUUCUCAAACCAAUAAUAACUUAAACCAGUUAUGUCCUUUGACCACCAUGAUGGACCACAUAUAUAUACCUUGUCAUGUAAGGAAACAAUUGCAUGUAACAUUUUACAUUUUUCAGUUCAUCCCACUUCAUCAGCAUGGUUUUAUCAAUCAUCUGCUGCAUUUCUUGAAAAAGCCAUCAUUGAUUUCCUCAAAGUGAGCAAACAGGCAAGGGAUGUAGCUGAAGGAAUACGUCUUGUCCAUCUAAAGAAACUACUGCUGGUGCUGCCAUUUUUGCUUGCACGUUUCAAUAUCUUAACAUUAAUUCUAAUCCAGAAUGCAUUGUUUCUGAACAAUCACAUUUACCAAAAAUUCAAGCUGACUAGGUUUUGCUUAAACAUGAAUUAAACAUUUGAUGUACCAUCAACAAUAUCAGCACAACAAAAAAAAGGAAAAAAAAUUUUGCCAGCCAGAUAUGGCUCAAGUAACCAGUCUGGACCCAGCAUAUGUCAAAUGAUACCCUGGUGAAAAAAGCUUAUGUCUGUUUAGGUUUUCUUAACCUAAAAAAAAAUAGAACACAACAGUUUUCAUAUUACCCAAUCAAGAUCACCUGAUCUGAGAGAUGCUGAUUCUCACCAUUUAACCGAUUCACUCCUAUGCUAUGUGCAAAGCCACUUCACUCGUCUAUCAGAGAGCAGGGCCAGCCAUUCUGCUCAUGGAAGAGCCUCCUAAUUUAUGUUCCCUUUGUCAAUUUCUGCCCAAUAAUGGAUAAGAUUAACCAUUUAUAUGAAUUGCUUUUAUCUUGUUAUAACUUCCAAUAGCAAUAAUAUGCGAUCCAGUAAUUAACCUGCUUAAUCUAUAGAAAGAGAGGCAUAGAAAGGAAAAAGAAUUAUCGCUUGGUAGAAUAUUUUGUCCAAAUACAUUUUUCCAUCAUGGAAAAUCCUAUGUAAGAAUCUCAACCUAUCGUUCCCUAUAUCAUUGCGGAAAACUUACAAGUGGUAAUGAAUACAACACAACAGGAGAAAGAAAACUGAUAGUAUCAAUGACUCUAACUGAAUCCCCAAUUAUUUGUCAACUGAAUGGGCACAUAAAGGGGACGCUAAAAAAACUCUAGAUACAGCAAAGAAUUGGGAAUAGGCAUCAAACCACCUUUAAAAAAAAAAAAAAAAAGGCAUCCACACAGUGCUGAUAUUAAAUAGGCCUUUUGCGUACUCAAAGCAAAUCCCAGUUGAAUCUAGGUUGAGCUGAACCCAAGGUACUUGUUGAAGCUUUGGAUCCAGGAGGCACUGGUGCGGGAAUGGAAUCAAAAGUUUCCCAUUGAGUGGUGAUCAGAACAUGGCUCGAAGCUGAGUGCCUUGAUGGUUGCAGUUGUUGCUGCGGCUGCAUUGGGACCCAAAGGAAUGCCUACCCUGCUGUUGUUCAACUGAGGAUGAUAGAUGAUCACGAGAAAACCUCUGUUGCUGCUGUUGGACAGGCGAAGACAGCUGUUGGGUUGGUGAUGACAGCUGCUGCAUGGGGAUGUGAUUUCCCAGGCUUGCAGCAUUGCCAUUACUGAUUGGAGCUAGUUUUUUACCUUCAACAUAUCCAGAGUCUCAACGUACUUCUGUACUCGUCUCACCUUCAAAAUCAGAAAUUUUACAUUUGUCCAUGCCCUAGACUAGAAUAAUCAAAGUCCUUUGUACAAAACUAGAACGAAGUUCAGUUAUACCUGCAUUUUCCUCUGCAGUUUGACAUCCCCAUCCGCAAUAAUUCCAUCUAACUUAAGAAGUUGAUUCAUCAAUAGCUCGAUCAGAUUUAAUACAUCCUUUUCCGCAACUUUUCCACCUCUAGAAAUUACAGAUUCAAGCGCUGACACCUAAACAAAAUGAGUUGACUAUAUUCAGUAAUUACUAAUUGCGGGUCUGCUAAUAACAAUCAUGAAAGUCUACGUCUUUGGACAGCUUAGCAAGAACCAAAAAGAGAGAGAAGGGGGGAAAAGAAGAGGAGAAGAAGAAGAAGAAGAAGGAAGGAAGGACUUACCAAGACCUGCACUUUAUGAUACGUAACAGGAAUUAGCAAAAACGAAGAAAGGGACUAAAUAAAUUACCUGUCCAGCUAGCCUAUCAACCUCCAAACUGAUCUCUGAUAUAGAUUUAGCGGCCUUCUCCAUUUUAGCAGUCUUUCUCAUCUCAAGGUACUCCUCUCUUGGCUAAUUGGGUCCUCCACCAGCACAAUUUUGGAUUUAUCUUUCACACCCGAAGUAUCAAGAAAAGCAUUUGAGUCCCUCUCUUUAUCCUUGAACAACAAUUUCUGAUCUUGAUGGUGCAAUCCAGUAGGCCCAGAUAACAUCUUCUUCAACUCCCCUUUUCAGCUCCCCAAAAAUAGAACCAACUCAUCAAAAUCAAAGAAGAAAAAAGGGCGGACAUAAAAUUGAAAACUUCACGAAAAUUGUUUGACUUACCGAAGCUUGAUUGUGAGUUAAUAUUUAUCUCAUGGUAAACAGAGCCAUACUUGACCCUAACCCGGAUAGUAGGAGGAGGAGGUCGAUAUUGAUCCGAAUCAGUUCGCAUCUGAACCAGCAUUCCACCAGGCCUCAUCUCCCAAUUCCCAUCAACUCCUCCUCCUCCUCCUCCAGUUCCGCCGGCGCCGUUUGCGGCCGUACUAUCUGUCGGUGGGAUUCCCAAUCCCAUUCCCAUAGUUUUAGUUCUCAUCCGCAUCAUAUCUACUCCAACAAAAAAAGCACCCACUCACUACAACACAAAAAAUGGAUGCCUGACGAGUAACCAGCACAAAUCAGAUCAAACUAGCAUUAUUCUUUAAAAAAAAAAACAUGUCAGCAUUACACAAGGAAGAGAAAAAGCAAAGACUCACUGGUUUGGGUUUGAGCUGAGAAUUGCUGGGAAAAAGAUUUGACUUUUGUCGGUGGGAUUUUAGUUUCUGUGCUGGCUGUUGAAAGUAUGAAGAAGGAGAGAUCUUUACUUUGUUGCUAGUAGCUGAAAAAUACGAUACCUGCCCAAAUUUUCUUAGGCAGUACAAACCUUGAACCACCGAUUGUUCCGUCCGACGAUAAAAAAUCAAAUAUAUGCUUUCAAAAUGUAUAAAGGAAAAAUUAAAUUGUGAAGAAUAAUCAAACUACUGAACGACAAGCGAUUGUUUCUUUUUUCUUUCUAUUUUCGAGCGAAUGAGUAAUUGCCUUGGAAGGAAGGGUCCGAGAAGGGGGAGGACCGGAGAGGGAAAAGUAUAAAUGGAGAGUUAUAUUUAUAGGACACAAUAAAAAGAAAAAAGAGUGAAAAGUGAGAAAAAUAGCUGGUGUAUGUAUGACCAUUCGAGAUUGUGAUUUUGUUAUUUGGAGCCGCCAAGGGAUGAGUUUCAAGGGUUUACAAGAAAAUUUGGGUUGAAGGAGAGAAGCCAAAAUCGUUAGGACCAUUGAGAAACAGAGUACUGAGUGUAAAUUGUUUCAAACAUUAUUUAUACAAUUAGCAUGUCAUAUUGAGGUCAUAUAUUGUCAUCCUGGUCUAGUGUAUAAGAUGGUAAUUCUUUAAAUAACUACUAUUACGUAGGAAUGAAUAAAAAACUAUUACGUAGGAAUGAAUCAUAUAUGAGAUUGUACGAGAUUAAUAGCCCAAUCUAAUUUUGUCUGAUGAAGAGAAGAUAUUAACCCAAAACACGUCCUUGCUACCUAGGGAUGUUAAUUUCGGAAAAAUUGGUAACACUGUCCCUUUUUUUUUUUUACGAAAAAGUUUGGAUACAUUAAUUUCCAAACCACAAGUCAAAGCAAAUUUUUGAAUCAUUUGUCACUUACAAAAGUUUACGAAUCAUCCUCUAAUACAGCUCUUGCAUCAAUAACAGAAUUCGGACGUGACCUUUUUUAUAACCAAUCUUUUAUUUAUCACUACUUAGGGUGUUCCAACCUUUUGGCCAAACCAAUCUUUUCUUUUCUUGAUAUAGUACAAACUUUCUUUUUUUUCUUUUUUUUGGUAAGAGAUAUGGUACAAACUUUCGCUGCAUGACCUAAUCCUAGUGAAGUCAUUAGAUUAUUAUUAUUAUUAUAAUAGCCCAGAUGCGUAUGUAUCUGUUUUGUUUCUUUCAUGCGGCAGGGGUAAAUUUAGGAGCGGGGAAGUGGUACAAAGCGCGGCGAAGGAUCUCAAUCGGCGGGUUGGGAGUGAAUGUCAGCCGGUGAAGGAUCUCAAUCGUCCGGUCGUGGGUUCACAUCAUCAUUCAAUUUGUGCAACCAACUGACAAGUCAACUGAGAAAAUAAUGGGUCGUGAUUGGACUGGAUUCACAAAGAGGGACCUGUGAAUGGAAGCCCAUCCUCGAUUGCACAUGGCGUCCGUAGAAGUUAAGCGGGUGGUUGUCCAAGUUUCAAAUCCAUGCUGUGGCUGUAAGAUCCGAUCAUAUUUGACCGGGUCCAAGAAUCUGGACUUUCUCGACUUGUCAAACGUGUCUCUGCUCUGCCCGAUGCCUGGUAGUGUUCUAGUAGGGAGGAUUUUACAAAACAGUCCAAUGAGAAUUUGUCGCAUAAUUUAUAGGUUCUAGAUAAAAUCAUUUUGAAUCAAAUCUUCAGUUAUUGUUCAAUUUUAGUAAUAAUUUAUUCAGUUAUUGUUUCAAAGAUUCAGAAUUUCAUAUUGUAAUAGGUAAGACUUGCUAUUUUUUGUUCCCGUCGACAUUCACGUAGUAUAUGCGCAACUUUAAUCUGUUCAAGUUACCCCAAAGAGGGGGCGGGGGGAGAGGAGGGGUUUGACUAAAUAAUUGAAUAUUUUUUUGUGAAAUUCGUGUUGGCAAAAAAAAAAAGUUUAGCUAAAAAGGGAAAUUGAGCUGUGAAAGAAUCAGAGGGUGAAUUCAAUUCUUGAAGACUUUUAUUUGCCACAAAAGGGCAGUUCGUCUCUUUCACUGAAACGAUUUGAUUUGAAACAGCUGCACGUUCACGGUGUUUGACAAUUAAUAUCAUCAUUUGGCCAUCCCGCAGCAGCAGCAGCAGCAGCCUUCGCUCAGAACAGCCUUCUUUCUAAUAUUUAUCAAUUAUUAUUUAGUUGACUGACUUAAAAUCCAAAUAUGUAUUGUUGUAAUGAGCGGUGGCAUUGCAUCCAGAAGGUUGACAAUAAUGUCUGUUUCUGUUACUCAAUCCCAUCCCGACGCAUUUCAUUUUCAUGAGGUGGGGCAAAACAAAAACAUACAGCGGAGGAAUGAAUGAGAACGAUAAUAAGGUAAAGGCACUCCCUAUAAUCAGAUAGCAUCUCUUCUUAUUGGUUAGUUUUGACGCGUAAGAAAAACUAGACAAAUCCCACCAGUCUACUACAAAUGUUGUUAUUCUAGUAGAGUACCAAUCAAGGAUUCACACGGCCAAAUUCAAGAUUUGCUCAGGUAGAGACAAGCAGCCCAACAGGAAAACAAAUGAUGGAGCCAUGGAAUGAAUGGACCAUGGAGGAGGAUAUCCCAACAAUGAAAUUACUGAACAUUACACUUGCUACUCUCAUCAAAGGAAAUUACAUGUUGGCAAGUUGUCCCCCGCCCGACUGCCGUCCAGCCCCCUCCCCAGUCCCCACCACCCUAAUUUUAUUUUUUUUUUUUAAAAAGGAAAAAAGAAAGCUAGAAACAUAUUAUUAUUAUUAUUAUUAUUAUCAUACAGUUUCUCUACAGUGGAAAAAGGAAUUAAAGAAAAGCAAGGACACUUUAAAAAGCAAAUUCACACACAGAAGCCACUACCACCGUCCCAUUUCCAUUCACACAGAAAAGAGAAGAAAGGGAAAAAGCUGACUCUUUGGAAAAGCGAUUGAACCACUACGACUACGUCUUGUACGCCAUGCCAUGGAGAUGUUGUUAAUUGACAACCUAGCUCCAAUCCCACCCCCCCCCCCCCAAAAAAAAGUAAAAAUAAAAAGACAAAUUUACAAAAUAGUCCAUCGGAGGAGGAUAAGCGUUCAGAUCACAAAAAUUGAACAUGAUUGCACUAACUAAACUCCUAGUUCACUUGCAAACCUGCGGGGAAAAUCCAAAAUUGCAGCUCAUAAACAGGGAGCAAAGGUCAAUUAUUUGCUGCAAAUGCCAAAUGGGGCCUUGACAUCCAUCUAAUAAUAUCCAGUUGCCUCUGCGAUAGGGCAGUUUCAAGAGCUCCCGCUGCUUAUUUCUCACAUGCCUACCAUACGAUAUUCCCCUAUUGGAGCAUAAAUAAAGACUAUAUAAUAAAGAUGAUAAAACCAAUUCCCACAGACUAAAAAAAGGAAUAAACUGGAUUUGGAAAAAAACGAUAGAAUAAUUAAUUUCGUACCAACUAAAGAAUGAAUAAAUAUUCCAUCAUUAGGAAAAAUAAGCUACGGACAUAUUUUUGGUUCCGAAAUUCAUAAACCACCACUACCUCAUUUCCCAACACUGAUACACCCAAAAUCUCUUCCAACCUCGUUUAUCUUCAACCUGAUUAAAAAAUAAAAGAGCUUUUUAAUUAUACAACAUACAUUUUCUUCCCCUAUUUACAUGGUACCACCAAACUGGCCUCUUCUUUUUUCACAAUUAAAUUUUCUUCCCAAAAAAAUAUACAAUAUAUAUAUAUUAGCAAUAAUUUUCUUUAUCAGAAGCUACCAUCGAGCCAUUUCGUUCUGUUCUUCAACAACCAAACCUCCACUCCGCUGGCCCACGUACCUACUAAAACUUGAUUCCGAAACCGAACCCGCCACGCUCCGACUCCUACUGAUUCGACCUCUGGACCUAAAUCUCCUGAAAAAUGAAACGAAAUUACUAAUGAGCCUCCCCAUUCCUCCACCGCCGCCACCACCGUCUCUGCCCCCAUUUCUCCGCCUCGAACCCCACACGAUCCUCCGCGGCAAGCCGACGCUGUUGCUGCCGCUUCCGUGACUAAAAUCUCCAUCCAUUUCUGUAUAUACUUCUGGCAGUUCUCUUUCUUCACUGGUCCCUCCUCCGGUCCUCCUCCCGCCACUAAAUCUACCCACCGCGAAACCCCCUCCGGGUAAUCUCCAAAUAGUCAGCCCAACUGCUUCCUCAGCACGGUUCGUAUUUCCCGAAUCGGAAUACAGCCCCGUUGGUGAUUCCGCCGGCAAUUCGUGUCGGCAAACAGGGCAAGAAUUGCGAAGAGAAAGCCACGGAAGGAUACAGUCGGAGUGGUAUAUGUGCUUGCACGGCAUUUCUCGAGCUUCGGAACCCAAAUCGAAGGCUUCUUUGCACACUGCGCAGUGGGAGUCCAAAUUUACAUGGGUCGAGACUAUUUCAAUCGUGGGCAUCGAUUCGAUGGCCGAUUUCGACGCCGGCGGGUUCUCCGGCCUUGUUAACCCGUUGACUUCAAUCUGCGCCAGUUGAUCGAGUAAACGGUCGAACCCGGAGCCCAUUAAAAACUCCGACAUACUCGAGGGGAGUGGCCUGAGGCCCGACCCGGUCCCAUCAUCGUAAUACAGCUCGUAGCUUCUUUCUCCUCCUCCUCCUCCACCACCACCGUCUCCGUCACCGUCCUCUCCUACAGUUUCAGCUUGUCCUCGAAGAACUAUCACAGGAUUGAACGGAGACCGGUCGCCACGGUUCCGGCGAUUCCGGCGAAACCUGAGGUUGACACUGUCGGAUCUUCUCGGGAACUCCGGCAACGGCGAGGGGGGACUGGAAUCCAGAGCUUCGAUGAACCCACUGUCGCAGUAGGGACAGACAACGUUAUGCUCAGCCCAGACCCGAACAAAUCUGGUGCAUCGGUAGCACCAGUACGACGUCGUUAUGGGGGUGGUCGUCGUCGACAUCUGGAACGGACAAUCCGAGUUGACUCGUUGGGUUAGAUCAGAUCUGAUGAAAGCGUCUGUUGAGAGCUUUCUUUCUUUCUUUCCGACUAGCUGGAAAAAUGGAAUAAGUGAUGAUGCAAUGGCGUUUAAGCGUGGGGCGAGGGCUUAUAUGUGCUGGAGAAUGUGAAAGGAGUUUUCGUGGAAUUUUAAAACACGCGUGAUGAUGUUCGUUCGGACAUGGGUUUAACGGCACAGCCGCGGAGCGUUUGUUCCUGUUAAUCGUGGGCCCACGCUGCUACCGAGGGAAGAUAUGAGUGGAAUUUAACGGUGUUAAUCUGGUCAAUUUUGGUGGAACGCAAUUGUUACAGCGUCAACCCGUCGACUAGCAAUUACUCCACUUACUAUGUUGGAGGAUGUUCUUGUUUGGUUCUUCUAUUUUAGGGCAUGGUUAAGGGGAUGCACUGGACAAAAAUUACUACUCCCUCCGUUCCACUUUGAUAGUCCUGUUUUUCUUUUUCGUCUGUCCCAAAUUGUAAUCCAUUUUUCAAUUGAAUAAUGUAGUUAUAUUUAAAUUUUCUAAAAUAUCCUUAUCUAAUGUAAGUUAUUGUUACUAUAAACCUACUCCAUUUAACGAGAGUUUAUUCUUCUUUUACCAUCAAUUCAAGUUUCCAUAAAGUUGUACUCUAAUUAAUGUGAGGGUAUUUUAGAAAAAUAGCUACCUAAAUUGAUUGUUCCAACAAAAUUAACUACUUUUCUUAAACUGUGUGAAAAAAGAAUCAGGACUAUCAAAGUGGGACGGAGGGAGUACUAAUUUAAGGCACAGAUUAGAUGUAUAAAGACUUUUUAUAACGAAAAUUGCUGGACUGGUAGUGUAACUUGUAAUUUGCAAAUGUGUCUGUGGCAUGUGAAGGUGUGUUAAUGUUCUAUUCUGAGUUUAUGGCGGAAAACAAGCAUCAACAAGUCGACAGAAGUAUGCUCAAUAUUGAUUUAAAUAUUAAAAUGAAUAUUUGAAUUUGACUUGUGUUUGAAAUUUUUUUGAAAGAAAUUGACCAAAUUUGGCUUGAAAUUCCAUAUGUAUAUUUACAAAAAUUUUGGUUUAACUUGUCAAAAUAUCAUGUUCAAGCACAUACAAUCAAAUUUUGAUUUGGUUUGAAAUUUCAUGUUGAAUUAUAUAGAGCUUUUCGCCCUAAUUCGUAGCUUUUUUCCUUGAUUUUUGCUAUCUGAUAUUUAAGAAAUCUAUUACAAUAAAUUAUGAAUUGUGAUUAAAAUCAAUUAUGAAAUGUGAUUAGAAACUUCCAAAUUUGAUUGAUAUUUAAACAAACAAGUUUGAAUGACUCUGAUUCGAGUCGAAUUCAAGUCGAGUACCAAAUUGUUUAUUUCCAUUUACAACCCUAUCUGAGUUUCUUAAUAAAAUUAUGUGAUCCUGUGAUUCUAAUUUUCACGUUCUUGUAGUACUGUACUUGAUGUUAAAAUGCAAGAGAUACACUUUUAACUAAUUCUUUCGCUUUCUCACCGCAUUGCCAAUUUUUGAAAUGCCAUUUAUCUCGAAGUCUAAAUACUCCUAUAUUUCAAAGUGAUUCAUUUGAACUUUCUCACAUUAGUCGGCCAUUUAGUUGACAAACAUUUCACGAUGCCAAUAGAUGCACAACUUCAAUACCCAGGAUUUGGAGUGACCAGGGAGAUCUCUUCAGUUUUACAAACUUCCACUACCUAAUAAUAUAUGAGUAAAUCUUUUCUACGCUGAUGGUGUACACACUAUCAUCGUUGGAUUCAUGACAUGUGUGCAAGAGUUGAAUUUUAAAUUCAAAUUUUGCAUAGUUUUCAAUCAUCCAACGCUGAUAGUGUAUACACUGUCAGUGUAGGAAAGAUUAAUCUAUAGUAUAUAUAUAUAUAUAUAUAGAGUCAUUGAUAUGUAUACUUGAGAGAUUUAGUUAGUCCUUAGAAAUUAGAAAUUAUGGUUCCAAUUUUCCAUUUUCUUUGCCUUUUACUUCUUAAAUCUCGGGUUGAAAAAAAAAAAGAAAAAAGAGGAGUGAGUGAUUCACUUAACAACUAUUAAUGGGAAUUAAGCUAAAGAUUGAGGGAUACUAGUGAUUGGAAAUGGGGAAGGGGUUGCCGUGGCGCGUAGCGAAUGCUGCUUAGCCAGCUGGAGGGGACCGUUGACGGACGCUGGGAAGGUUUUGAAAAUGCAGCUCAUAAUCAAUGCAGGCGACAAAUACAUCACAUGCAUGUAUUCGUGAAAGGAGAAGAUUCCUAACGAGGCCGAGAAGGCGUGUUUUCAAACGAAACUUGCCAUCUAGACGACGAGGCUGACGCGUCUCGGUCUCCUGUUACCUACGCGCACCCAACGCUUUGGCAUUGAGGAAUUAUUGACACUUCAAUCAAGUAGUUGGUGCCACUUGCGAUCCAGACAAUUUGGUUUAAACUAUUCUAAGCUUGAUUAUUUAAUUGAAUUUAAUUAGAUUAGCAUGGAUUAUCAGCUAUAUACUUUUGUUAAGUUGAUGACUCGUCUUGAGAAGCAACCAACUUGAACAUAUGAAUGAACAGUGCCAGUCAUAAAUGGAUGAAAACCUAAACUUGGCUAGGAAGCAAUUGACAAUUGGACAAGCACAUAUUCUAGGAUACCUCCUCUUGACUUGGUUUGAAAAUGCCAUUGAACAAAAUUUGGUGGUUAAUUACAAGCUUUUGAUUUUGUUUAUUAAAAGUUAUUUUGAGCAUUGUCCUUUAUCAAAACACUUGCGCCCAUAUGAGUUAGGGAAUGUGUGAUUAAUAUCACUUUGGAUUAAAGAUGAACUUUUCAAUUGAUCAUUGUAGCAGAUUACAUUAUGACGUAUGCGAUAUAUAAAAAUAAUUGAGAAACAUGUUUAGUAAUCAGAGUUCAAAUCCUAGUUGUAGAUCAAAAAUAUUUUUGUAUUUUUAGUUAAAUCUAAUUAGUGUGCAACAGCAGACUUUUUUAGUUUAGAUGCGGGUUUCUCUCUUUCUAACUCCUCAUGAUCCAGUUAGGUCCUCCUUUAGUAUAUAUUAGAACCGGAGUAUUAUGUUAAUGUUGUCGAUUGACAAAAAACGAAAAAUGGUUUGUGUGCCAAUGGUCAACUCAAUUCCACAACUAAUAACUAUCAUUUGUAUUUGAUACAUAUUAUGAAAAAUUAAGGGGUCAUUUUUUGAUCGAAACCAAUCUAAGAAAGGACUUUGAAUGGACCAAUCUACUUGGCCAUCAUUCCGAAAAUGUUUUAAACUAGACCCCACUGCAUCUAGUAACGUAAAAAAGCAAAUUUUAUUAACAAAAUAUUGGAAAUAGUUCAGCACGACUUGAUCUAUAUUACUGUCCUAGUGACAAGUUAAAUUCAUUAAAAAUUAGAGAUCUGCAAUAUAACAGAUGCAAUAGAUUCAAAAAAUUAUGAAUAAAUCUGAAAAAUAUAAAAAAUUUAAUUGUUUUCUAGUAGAUAGAUCAUUGCAACUUCCUUCUAUGCAUGUUACAAUUGCCAAAUCUACUAAUGAACAAUUUUAAACUUCAAUAGUGAUGAUGAAAUAGAUCCAAGAUUAAAAAUAAAUAAAUCUGAUAACUAGAUUUGAAAUAAAUCUAUAUCUAACAACAACAACAAAAAAAGAAAAAAUAAAUAAAAAUCCCCAUAGAAAUUCGUAGGAGAAUUUAAUAAAAUUCUCAUUAGAAAUUUCUAGAAAUAACAAAAAAACUCUCACUAAGAGGGACGUUAUUGAAAUAAUAAUAAUAAAAAAAAAGAAACAGAGACUCGUGAGAGGGAAACCAUGGCGUGGAUACUAAUUGACAAGAAUCCACGGUGGCUGUUCUGGAUACUAAUUGACAAGUAUUAACAAAGAAGACGAAAUGAAGAAGAAGAAAAAGUUUUUCCAAUCGACCCUUUUAUUAAUUUUGCGCUGAACGCUUGCUUGUAAAGUCUUAUAAUACAAUUAACCACUUAUAAUGAACUUUCAUAUAUUCUGUUGCUUCCAGCAUUUUUUGGGACUAGUAUCUUGUCUUUGUUGAUAAUCAUCUAGCAAGAAAAAGAUUCCUUCCUUCCAAAUAUAUAAGAUGAAUAAUUCGAGUGAAUAUGGGUCGACACGAAGAGCAUCUCGGGGUCCCUUUUCAUCCUCCUCCACUGGAGUCUUGAGUCGAGGCUAAAAGGCCUAAAACGCUCCUUUUUACCCUUUGACAGAUCAAAAGCUGGUUAUUUGAUGCCCACUCCGAAGGACAUGGUGAAAAAGCUCAGAAAGCCACUUGUCAGAAAAGGCACCCAACAGCUUCGUCUAUAUUGUACGACGCAAGAACACUGCAGUGUGUGUUCUAGAUAGGUUAUUAUUUAAAAUAAUUAUUGUAGUAUUUUUUUUGAAAUAUAAUUAUAUGACAUAGAAAAAAAAGUGAUCCAGAAGAUAAAAAGUUGAUGAUAAAUUAUGUUUGUGAUGCAAGUAAAAUAUUAUUUAAAAUAAAAAUGCUGUCGAAAAAGAAUUGAUCUACUGAAACUUUAACAAGAUAUAAGAUUAUGUUAGAAUAUUUCUAGACAGUGUGUUUGUAGGAUAUAGUAACUUGUUUAGAGGACUAAUCCCAUUUUGUACCUUUUAUGUAAUUUCCACUUCACAUCUCGAGUUUUUAUUCUUGACACUUUAUAUCCCAAUUUUAUCAAAACUUCAUAAAUUACGCCUUUAUAUUUUAUUUUGGACAUAUCAUACCCCGCCUUUACCAAUUUAGCCCCAAAUUAUUUUAAAUCUUGCACACUGCGAAUGAAAAUAUACCAUCAACAAAUGACUACACACCACUUUCAGCUAAAAGCCUAAAAAAAAAAAAAAAAAUGCACGAGUUUAGGUGUUUACUUCAUAUCUUAUACGUAGAGGUAAUGAUUUCGUUCAAGUAUUAUUAAACAAACAUAAAUUGCCGUUAUUCGUUAAGUUUUCUGAGGUUUGAGUUAAUUAAUUCAAAUUGAGAAAAUAAUUUUUGUCCAUUUAAUAUUUAAACGAACUUGAACUCUCUUUGUAUGGUAUGCAAACAAAAAAUUGAGCUUCUUGUAUCAGGCUAAGUUUAGCUCUAUUGUUUAUAUAUUUUCAUUCACGAUGUGCAAGAUUCAAGCAAUUUAGGAUAAUUUGUAACUUUGGAGAUGAAUAUUCACAGCAUAAUGUGGUAAGUUUUGGUAACUUUAUGGUAAAGAGGUAUUUAUAAUGAAAGUUUGUGGUACAAAGUGGAAAUUGUCCUUGUGAAGGCCUUACAUUUUGUGAUCUAUAUUCACAAAGUCAAAUUGGGACCGGAAACACAGGGAAUAACAAAUAUGGCUAGUGGCAGAUAAUAACUGGGAAUUAGUACUCGUGCAUCGCACAACAUGCCAUAUGACACACAUGUUGCACCCUGCCCUUUUCUCCCAAACCGAACACAUUGCUUGCAGGCUUGAUUCUCAUUCAUGAGUAAUAUUAGUAUAUUUUGUCCAUCUGUCAAGCAUAUUCUCAAAUUUUCAUUAAUGGCUCGUUGGAUUCCUCGUUAUUUGAAAAACAAGUUUUUUAUAGACUAUAUAUUAUAUUAAUAUAUAAAUAAAAAUAAUUUUAAAAACAUCACAUCCAUACAAUAUAUCAAAAAUAAUUUCAAAUAUAUAAAAAAAUACACACCACCACCACUAAGUCCACUAUCACCACCACUACCAACCAUCAAAAUCAUACCGUCACCCGCCGCCCCUUCCCCCUCUUUCCUCCCCCUCAUUCUUCCUCAUCCUCCCUCUUCCCCUCUCUUUUCUCCUCUUUUUUUCCUUCCUCCCCACGCCUCUCUCAAUAGCCCCCUCCCCCUCUCCCAUCGCGACCAGAUUUGGUUGCAUGUGGUGACCAUUUUCUAGUCGCGAUCCGUGAUCUGAGAGAUGGGAGGGGAGGGUGCGGUGAGAGAGGUUAGGGAGGAGGGAGGGGGAGAGAGCAAGAGCAGGGGUGGACUCAUUAAAAUUUUAAAAUUUAAAAAUAUCCCAAAAUAUAUUUUCAAAACACUCGAAAAACAGUAUAAAAAACAUUUACAGUAAAAGUUUUUUAACUACAUUAUUACAAUAAAAUAUUUCAAAAACAGCUUAAAAAGAAACUAAUCCAAACGGAGCGAUUUUUUCGCAACGAUAACAUUCCUAAAACCUAAUUUAUCCUAUUCAACACGAUUUUUUUUUCGCAACGAUAACAUUCCUAUUAAUCUAAUAUAUCAUAUUCUAUAGGGAAGGGAUUCACCUAAUCUAUCAUAUUCUACAUUGAUGUGUAAGGGGCUACUAGAUAUAUAGAUCUGAUUAAAUAAAAAAGGUAUUCUGGUACUUUCUUUGAAAAUUUUCACUACAGAUAAAGUUUAAACCCCUGACCUGCAGUCCAAAGAGGGAUUUAAUCUCUUUUGGUAGCCAUUGAGUCAAAGAUCAGCGGUUCUCAAAUUUCCAUCUCGGUGAAGGCUGGGUUGUUUGAACUCAACAUCACUAAAGAGUCUAAAAAUGCCCACUCGACAUAGACUAGGCAACUUUGUUAUUGCCAUCGAAUAAUCCCAAAACUCAGUUAGCAUCAAAAUCGCGCUUGCUUUAAUUCCACAGAGGAGCCAAACCACAAUUCCAAACAAGAGCGAGCUCGACCUAUUUGCUCAUGGCCAAAUUAAGGUUUUGAAUUUAUUAGAGUCACCAGGGAUUAUUUUUAUUUGGUGAGCUACGAAAACUUCCGCUCGACACCUUGUUGCUGUCCAAAAGAAUCAAAUUUCCAUUGCCAAGAGUCUGUGCUCUUUAGAAUACCCAAAGUUGUCGUAUAGUUUCUCCGUACACUUCUUUUCACUGGGCUUUUGUGCCCAAAGAAGACUGGUCUUUAACUAAAAUUGUCUCUCAUCCACGUUAAGCAUGCUUGGCGUUCAUAGAAAUUUUAGGGAUCCCAUCACCAGUCCGAACAGACAAAUUUGCGCCAAUGACUUAACUGUCAAUAUGCUCGUAACCAUCAUUUUCCAAUAAUUUAUAUCAAACGCCAAGGCUGCUUGUCCUGCUAGGCAUAACAGGCCCAUCCACUCAUAUUGGGCUUUUGUAAGUCUAGGGCCUCCACCCAAGGACCAAGGUCUUCAGCAUUGUACUCGCCCCCGUGCUCCAAAAUCAAUUCCACGAGCUCUGCACGCCACGUACUGGAAGUCUGGCAAGGUCAACCAAUCGAAUACAUGCAGUUUAAUUGAAGAAUACGCAACUCAAAACAUCUGUAUAGUUUUUCCUCACAAGACGAGGUUAAACACCCGUCGCCUUCUAUAUUUGCAGCAAAUUAUUGCGUGUCACCAUCAUCUUUCCUUAAUAUAUCCAAGUUUAUCUGAAGAUAAUUUGUGACUCUACAUUUAGAUUUUCAGUUUCUUGAGGACAUGAAAAAAAAGAAAAGAAACCAACAUCUUAUAUGACACAAUUUCAGUUGGUAAAUAGUAAACACUUUUGCCCGAUAAAUUGCAUCAUGUAAAGAAUAAGCAUUAGGUACAUCAGGUAUGCCACGUAAUAUAUCAGAUAAUGUACUAAUAUCAAUCAUCUAUAGUCAAAAAAUUUUGAUGAAUUAUUCAUAUUAUUUACUAUCAUAUAAGCGUUGACUCACGAUAGUAGUCAAUAAUUUUUGAUUGAUAUUAAACUAUUAAUAUAUUAUCACGUAACAUACAUUUUUUUUUUGUAUCAGACUUUUGAAGUUAGUUAAUUAAACAUAAUCCCAAAUUUAACCCCAAAAGUCGAUAACUUUUGAGGCAAACUUGGGGACUUAACUACCCGACCCCAAACCCCUUAGAAUCGAUAUGGGACUACGGGAAAGUUAGUAGGGAAGCCUCUAUUAGGUCUUAACGAAUAACCCACUUAUCCCAGAUACCGCCCCUACGUCUAUCACGUAACAUACAUGAUCUCACUAAAAUUUUUUCAUUCAGCAGUACUAUUAACCAGCAAGUCUCCUAACGGGCCGUAAAAUGCUUUUACGUUCUUCAUUAAGUACAAGGUCUUCUUACUCAAGAUAUUCAUUUCCACUUAUGGCUUUGGAAGCUACCCAUGUGAUUCCAUUAAAUUACUUUUAUGUGCUCCGGAUGGAGAAGAUUUGUAUGCCAAAGAUUUUGCUAAGAAAUCCAGCCAUCUAGUUAAUGCUGACUGGAAAAUAGCCUUCCUUCUACUUGCUCCUCAUAUUUUCUUUCUGUAAAAGGAAUACUUUCCUUUAGUUUCCACAGGGAGAAUCUAAGCUUUCUAGUCUCUAAAUUGCUCAUUCCCAUUACCAUAUCUCCGAAUGGGUAAAACUAGGAAGCUCAUUGAGUAAAACAGACCCGAGUUAAUAUUCAGCAAGGAUGGGAAAAAGGGAAACCUCAAAAUAGUUAUUAUUACUCUAAUAACUGGCCGAUAGUCAAAUAGAUACUGAAAACGCUACUGCAAAAUUAAACCACACGACCAAACUUCGCUAGAAUAGAAUAUUCUCAACCUAAAUAAACUGGUGAUGCAAAAUUAAUACUAAUACUACAAUCCAUGCAGAAUAAUGGGCUUCAAGAGAAGACAUUUGGCCAAAAUAUGAAAUCCAACAAAAAGCAAAGGGCGACUUAAAACUUCAAGAAUUGUACAUUAGACAAUAGAGAGUAGUAGUAAAGUACAAUUUUUUAAGGUGAAGAAAAAGGGUUGAUGAGACUAAAAAGAUAGUACUAGUAACUACACGUUCGGAUUGCGUUUUUCUGAUUUUUAUUUUAAAAAAAAUACUGUAAUGAUUUGAUAUAUAUAAAAUAAUAAAUAAAAAAUACAGCAGCAAUUUUUCUUUCCAAACAAGUAAAAUGGAAGUCCAACAAAAAUGGUCUUUAAGAUCUUGUACCAGAGCCUAGCCUACCAUCCCUCCCUUAUCGCAAGAGAAAAAGAAUGGGAAGCUGCCUACACCACCAUUUUUGAGCAAAUGGGCCUCAAAACACAGAGCAGAGAAGGGCAGUCGGGUCUGGAGUUCUCCCCGAAUCUACAGAGUUGACGUGGCAUCCACCGAUUCCUCUGUGUUAUGGAAACACAACGGAGGAAUACAAACACCUCAUAAUUGAUAAUUCCCUCUCUACCCGUCUCUGCUCUUCUCUAAAUGGACCUAAAUUUUCUCUUUCUUUCAUCACUAAACACCAGUCGGUUAUCACUUGGUCAAUUGGACGCCCCUAUUAUUAUGGGAUAUUAUUUAUUCGUCAUUAAUUAUCACUUACCAAAACUUUAGCCAAAACAAAAAUUAAAUAAUUAUCACUUGCCCAAAAGCUAAAAACCAGAAAAGCAUAUAAAUAUAUAUAUUUAUGGUAGCAGUACCUGUGCACAAUUGGCAGAAACAUAUUAAUUAUUUAUUUAAUCCACUAUUAAUUAAUAAAAAUUAAAUAGGCAGAUAAAAAUAAAACCACUUUCAAUACGUGUAUUUAAUCCUCUCUCAUGUAGUAGUUGAAAAACAAAACCCUAAAAGGGGUUCUCUGUAAGAAACGAUUCGCCGCCGGGUUUGAUCUCUUUUGUCUAUCUAUCCUUCCUUCCUUCUUCCUUUCUUUCACUCAUUACCGUCACCUACCUCAAUCUUCCAACCCCACUUCUCGAUCCUCAGCUUCUUUUAUCUCUUUUUCUUUCUAGAAACUGUUUUUCCUGCAGUUCUUCAAAUUUCAGGGGAAAACCAUGCUGGUUAGAAUUGCUUUUCCUUGUUUUUUGGCCUAGUAAUUCAUCAUGGAGAUUGAUAAAGUUGUCGCCUUUUUUUGUCGAUCAUAUGUUUUUGAUGCUCUGAUAUCAAAAAAAUGAUGAUAAAGAUUGCAUUUUUAUGAGGUUAAAGAUUUGACUUUUAGGGUUGUUUGCAAGACUCUCUUGGUUUUUGGUGAAAUUGAUUAUAAGGUUCUAAUUUGUAUUUGCUUUCUAGGGUUUUAGGGUUGGUUGUUGGUGAUUAAGCUUUUUAAUUUUUUUUCCUGUGGAAUGAGUGGAUAGUUUUUUGCUGGUGAAGAUGAUAUCUGACUUGGGUAGGAGACCAAUGCUUGGGAGCAAUGAAAAUUCGUUUGGAGAUGAGUUGGAGAAGGAAAUAGGGCUGUUGCUUCGAGAACAGAGGAGGGAAGAUGCUGAUGAUCGUGAAAAGGAGCUCAAUUUGUAUAGGAGUGGGUCAGCUCCACCUACUGUUGAGGGAUCAUUGAGUGCUGUAGGUGGAUUGUUUAACCAUGGAGUUGGUGUGGCGGAGGCGGUGGCCCUGUGUUUCAGACUUUGCCCGUGAUAAGGGUGUUAAUGGCUUCAUGUCCGAGGAGGAGCUCAGGUCUGAUCCUGCUUAUUUGUCUUACUACUACUCCAAUGUGAAUUUGAACCCCAGGUUGCCACCUCCUUUGUUAUCAAAGGAGGAUUGGCGGUUUGCGCAGAGGUUACAAGGAGGGAGUUCUGCAAUUGGGGAUAGAAGGAAGGUGAAUAGGAAUGAUAGCGUUGCAGGCACAAGAUCACUUUUUGCAAUGCCACCAGGUUUUAAUUCCAAAAAACAGGAGACUGAGAACGAUUCAGAUAAAGUUCAAGGUUCAGUGGAGUGGGGUGGUGAUGGAUUGAUUGGUUUGCCUGGAUUAGGGCUAGGUAGCAAGCAGAAGAGUCUCGCUGAAAUAUUUCAGGUGAAUAUAUUUGUGAAAUUUUGUGUGUACCUAAUUUACAUUGUGAAGUUGAAAUGUGGAGGGGUGAUACCCAGUCCCGUCCCUGAUGAUGCAAAAAAUGAUAAUCAUUAGAAAUUUUAGAUUUGAGAUACUGAAGGAUUAACUGCAUGCAUGUUAGUUGCCUGAUUGAAUGGGAAUUUAGAGAAAUACAAGGUCGAUUUGUCCUUGGAUUGCUGUUAGUUCACAGUGUUCAUGUCUUCCAACGGCUUGACAAUAUUUCUUGCAUCUUCAACUUCUAGACCUGAUUGUCUGUGAUUUCAUUACUGGAAUGUUUACUCUUGGUGGGUGAGCGUAGUGCCUCUAUUUUGGUCUCUGUUUCAAUUUUUGUAGUUUUCUGGCAUGCCCUUGUUAUUGUGACUUCCUGCUCUCUAAUGAUUAAAAGUUGCCAUUUUCUCCCACUGGCAGCAUAGUUUAAUCAUUCUGUUUAACUUCAGGCUUGACUGCUUGCUUUAACAUUUUCCUAAGCUUCCUUUCCUCUGUUUUAUGAUUCAUUACGAAAAAACAUGUAAAUUGUGAUUCGGUUCACCAAGAUUUCCUGGUCAGUAAUGCAAAAAAUUCAAGCUUAUUUAGUCUCUUAUCCUGAUAAAAGGUUUGGAAUGAUGGUUUGCUCAAAUUCAUGGUUUCUAAUUCUCUCUCUCUCUCUCACACAUUUGUCAUGGUAUUGGAUUUCAAUGAAGUUUCAAGACCUUUUUCCUUUUUCCUUGAAUAAUGCAUUUUGUUUUCAAAGAGCCAUUCCACACAUAGGUAUGAAGAAAGAAAUUAAUACAGUGAUCCAAUUAUAAUUUGUUGAAAGUACUGUACAAAAAACCAUAAGAAGUGGUUGAGAAGAAUCUAUACCUGCUAUAUUUGCCAAUCGUGUGCCAACUAAUCUAAAACAUGGUGUUCAGUUGUUGCUACGCGAGUUAUACAAUUCUUAUGUUUCAGAUAGUGGACAGUCAGUGUUUGGCUAUCUCUACAAGUUUGUAGGAUAAUUUCAUUUGAUCCAUGCAAUUUCCAGUUAAUGUAGCACAUAAAUCAUGUUAGGAAAUAUCUUCUCCGCAAUGAUGCGCAACAGAUUGAUCCUUUGUAUGCUUAUUCGUUCUUUAUUCCUUAUUUUGUAAUGAGAAGUUAGACUGUGAAUGAUUUAGCUUGUUAAUGCCCUUGUCAUCAAUUCUGGUGGUUAACUGCACAAGGCAUGCAGUUGUGCUUGCUUAUUCUUAUUGUGACGAAAUAUAGUUUGCUCAUUCUCUGCUGUAAACUUGGAUUUUGCAGGAUGACUUAAGCCGAGCAACUUCUGCAUCAGGACACCCUUCACGCCCAGCUAGCCGUAAUGCUCUUGAUCAAAAUGCUGAUCCUUUGGGCCCUGCAGAAGCUGAGAUGGCUCAACUUCACCGCGAUUUAGCGUCUACUGACCCUUUACGUUCUACUGUCAGUGCUCAGAGUGCAUCUGCUGCUCAACAUGUUGGACCACCCACAUCAUAUUCAUAUGCUGCUGCUUUGGGUGCUUCCUUGUCUAGAAGUACCACUCCUGAUCCCCAGCGUAUUGCAAGGGCUCCUAGUCCUGGCCUUGCUCCUAUUGGUGGAGGAAGAGCAAGCACUUCAGAAAAGAGAAACAUUAAUAGUCCAAGCUCCUUUAACGCGGUCUCAUCUCAGGCAAAUGAUUCGGCAGAUUUAGUAGCUGCUUUGUCUGGUAUGAACCUUUCAAAUGGUGUGGUAGAUGAAGAGAAUCGUUUGGCAUCUCAAAUUGAUCAAGAUGUUGAUGACCAUAAAAAUUAUCUUUUCAACCUGCCGGGUGGUCAGAACAAUUCAAAGCAGCAUGGUUACUUUAAGUCUGACUCUGGUCUUAGCAACAGCAGUGGUUCAGACCUUAGUAACUCUGCUCUUCAAACUGACUCUCGGAAAACUGGCAUUCUUCGUAAUAAUUCAUACCAAAAAGGAUCUUACCUCCAACAUGCUUAAUGGCGGUGGUGGCCUACUCUCACAGUACCCACAUUUGGAUAGUCCAAACUCCUCUUUUUCAAAUUACAAUUCAAGUGGCUACACAGUGAAUCCACUGACGGGCAAUCUUGGCAACUUUAAUCUUCCGCCAUUGUUUGAAAAUGCUGCCGCUGCAUCCGCCAUGGCUGUCCCUGGAAUGGACUCAAGAAUCUAGGUGGAUCAAAUAUAGGCUCUCCUGUUUCAGAGCAUAAUCUUAGUAGAAUGGGGAAUCAGAUGGCAGGGAAUGGUUUGCAGUCACCUUAUAUGGAUCCAGCCUAUUUGCAGUACUUGAGGACAGCUGAGUAUGUUGCUAACCAGGUUGCUGCACUUAAUGAUCCUUCAUUGGAUAGGAACUAUAUGGGCAAUUCAUACAUGGACUUGCUUCAAAAGGCCUAUCUUGGCUCUGUGCUAUCUCCUCAGAAAUCGCCAUAUGGUGUUCCUGCAGGUACAAAGAAUACCGGUUCCAAUCAUCAUGGUUAUUAUGGGAAUCCUGCUUUUGGUGUUGGGUUAUCAUAUCCUGGAAAUCCACUAGCAAGUCCAGUCAUUCCUAAUUCUCCUGGUGCACCUGGAAGUCCCCUAAGGCACAAUGAUUUUAACAUGAGAUUUCCUGGUGGAAUGAGAAACUUAGCUGGAGGUGUCAUGGGGCCUUGGCACUUGGAUAAUAUAGACAAUAGCUUUGCGUCCUCGCUGCUAGAAGAGUUUAAGAGUAAUAAGACCAAGUGUUUUGAGCUCUCAGAAAUUGCAGGGCAUGUUGUCGAGUUCAGGUAUAUGCUGACUUGCACAUGUUUGACUUCCUUUUGAUAAUACUGACUUCUAUUGACUUGUAUUCUUUAUGAUCAGUGCGGAUCAGUAUGGCAAGUCGUUUCAUUCAACAGAAACUUGAAACUGCAACAACUGAAGAGAAAAACAUGGUCUUUGAGGAGAUUAUUCCUCAAGCUCUUACUUUGAUGACUGAUGUGUUUGGUAAUUAUGUGAUCCAAAAGGUAUUUGGCAUAGCUGUCUCUUCUUUCUGGAAUCUUUGUCACUGCUAGCAUUUUGACCCAUAUAAUUGGAUUUCUGCAUAAUGUCUAGUAUUUGACUUUUAGCAGCUUUUUCUUCAUUUUAGUUCUUUGAACAUGGAAUGGCAGCUCAAAGAAGAGAAUUGGCUAGCAAGCUCUUUGGGCAUGUGCUUACCUCAGCCUUCAAAUGUAUGGUUGUCGAGUUAUACAGAAGGUAAUACUUUGGAUUGAGUUUACAUGUUCUAAUGUUGGUUUUCCUGCUAGGAUUUCUAUCAAGUUGUGGAUGGAGUAUCUGUGGUUGAUUGCCUUGUAUCAAACUUAUUUUGAAAUUAAACCUCAUCUAACUGAAUCGUCAUGGUAAAUUUCGUUGACUCUUUUAGGCUAUUGAAGUAGUUGACGUGGACCAGAAGAUUAAAAUGGUUGAAGAGCUUGAUGGGCAUGUCAUGCGCUGUGUACGUGAUCAGAAUGGAAACCAUGUUAUCCAGAAGUGCAUUGAAUGUGUCCCAGAAGAUCAUAUUCAAUUUAUUGUCUCCACUUUCUUUGGCCAAGUUGUUACUCUUUCUACCCAUCCUUAUGGGUGUCGCGUGAUACAGGUCCAUACAUACUUAUGCUUCAGAAUUAAUAUUUUAAAGCAUACCCUAUCAAAGGGAUCAAUGCCAUCUGAACCUUUCAACAUUCUUUGUAUGGCAGAGAGUCCUGGAACACUGCAGUGACCCAAAAACUCAAAGCAAAGUGAUGGAAGAGAUUCUUGGAUCUGUGAGCAUGUUGGCGCAGGAUCAAUAUGGCAAUUAUGUUGUUCAGGUUCAUACUUUUCUGAAAAGAACUCGCCUUGCACUUUAUGUUUAGCUUUUUUCUUCAUUUGCUGUGAAAGAUCAAAUUUUUGUGUUUUAUAGUCCAAAAAUGUCAAUUUGGUUUCCUUGACCUUGCAACUGUUGUCAAAUUGAUAAGUAUCUUCUUGAUUUGAUCAUGAAUAGGUGAUCACUUGAUUGUAUUUUGGUUUUGAGAUUGCUUGAGUACUAUUUGGAUGCAGUUCUAGUUUUUACUCUGUCAGUUCUUCAUUUCUCACUUUUGAUUGAUUUUCUUCCUUGUUUAAUAUGGUGGAUUGGUGGGAGGGGGAAGGGGAGGGGGAUUUUCGAAGGUAAUCUCAUGGAGGGUUGUUCAUAUUAUUGGUGUUUUUUAUACCUCCAACUCCUAACUGUUUCGUAGAUGAACAUUUUUUGGUUUAGAAUUUCACUCGAGUGCUGGAAUUUUUAGAAUGCAAGUAGGAAGCUAUAAAACACGCAAAUACAAAUGAAUCGACUAUUUAAAUCUUAGUUCUCAGAGAUUAGUGUCAUUGGCAGUAAUCAUAGGUGCUAUAAAUUUGAGCAGUUGUGAUGGUUUAAUGUAGAUAUUAUCUUGUCAACAAUUCCUGACGUCAUGUUGCGCGGUUUGGGUAUAUUUACUGGGUUCCAAUUCCUUGAACCUUCUUCUGAUCUUGCUUUACUUGUAAUAGCAUGUACUGGAGCAUGGCAAGCCACAUGAGCGUACUGCUAUAAUUCAGGAGCUAGCCGGAAAGAUUGUCCAAAUGAGUCAGCAGAAAUUUGCCUCAAAUGUAGUUGAGAAGUGUUUGACUUUUGGUGAUCCUAGUGAACGUCAGCUUCUGGUGAAUGAGAUGCUUGGUACAACUGACGAGAAUGAGCCUCUUCAGGUUUGUCAUUUCUUCCCCUUAUAAAUGAUUCACGUUUAGUAAUCUGAGAGUCGCAAGGGCUAUAAAAAGUUUGAUUAUGCAAAUUAUAGCAGCCUAUGAAUAAGAAACAGUGUGAAGUUGAUUUCAGGCUAUGCAAAAGUUCAGUAGAAGAUUGGUUGUUUUAACAGCCUGCCUCUUUAUGCUUCUCUAUGCAGGCAAUGAUGAAAGAUCAAUUCGCAAAUUAUGUUGUACAGAAAGUGCUGGAAACUUGCAGCGAUCAGCAACGGGAAUUGAUCUUGUCAAGAAUCAAAGUUCAUCUGAAUGCUCUGAAGAAAUACACAUAUGGGAAGCAUAUUGUUGCGCGGGUAGAGAAACUUGUUGCUGCUGGUGGUAUGUAGUUGCUUUCUUAAUAAGUUAGUGUCUUCUGUAGUUACCUAAAAGAAUUCACAGGGAUGCCCAAAUAGCUUCUUGCAAAUUUCUGGUGUCCUGGAUUCAGAAAUUCAGACCUAAACCUGAAUUUUACUUUUUGCUUGUUUGCGUCUGCUGGUGGUAAUUUUUGACUCUCUCGAGCAAUUUUGUGGCAAUAAAAGGCCUAUAAUAACCUUCGGUAACCUAAUAUUGUGUGGAAUUACUCAUGCUUUAGAGGGCUGUUCGGAUGCCUGUUAGUAAUUAACUAAUAACUGUAGGCCUGUUGAAGGUUCAGCAAUUCUCCUGGAACGUCUUUAGUUAUUUUGGUGAUGCAACUUAUUUCAAUCAGGUAAGGCGCAUUUUGUAAUUGACUAAUUACCUUGAUUGUGUGCAGAAAGGAGAAUUGCUCUUCAGAACCCACAUCCUGCUUAGAUCAGAUAGGAAAGGAAGUUGUACAGCUAACAGAGGAUAGUUUGAGCUACCUCUCUUCUCUUUCUCCGGAAUCUAGUGUUCGUGCCCUAUGCCUGUCUUCAACAGGUGUCUUGGGCGACUGCAAAUAAAGUUGUUGCUUGUACUAGAAACCUGUACAUUGUGUAGUUUAAGGUUUAUACGUAGAAUCUAGUAAGCCGAGGCUCGGAUGUCAAGUGUUCCUGGUCGCCUUGCAGAGGAGAUAAAUGACAACACGUGUUUAAUGCAUGUAAAAAGGAUAAAAUGUGAGGUAGUUUAUGUUUCAUCGCGACUGUACAAAUGUUGCCUUGUGGAGAGUUGAUCUUUUAGGUGAGAGCCAGAAAGUUUUAUCAUGUAAGGUAUUGACAAUUUUCAUGUCAUGGCCAAAGUAUAUUUAAAUUCUCUCUGAUCUGCCAUGUUUCAAUUUUGUGGUAUUAGCUAUUUCUGUGUUUUAGUAUAGUCUAUUACGUUGAUUUUUUAUCUGGGGAUGUUACAUUGAAUGGUUCGUAAGGUUGCCAUUCUUGUACUCUCAUUGAUCAUUAAAUGGGAUAAAAACUCGUCCAAGUGGAGGAAAUCUAGUUGUGAAUUACUGUGCUGCCCGCCGAAGGAUGGCCAGGGUCUCUGAGAACUCGAAGCUUAGCUGUGUCUUGCCGGUGUUUGAAGCACCGUAAGUUUUAGGCUGUAAUGCAGCUGCAUCUAGCAGAGCCUUAAACCAUCCUCUUCCUUCUUCCAGCGCAGAGGGCUAAAGAAGACGGCAAUUGAAAAGGCAGAAAAUCGAGUGAUAAAAAAUUUAACCAUUUCUCCUGAGUUACAUUAAAUAUUUUUCAAUGCUUUGCACUCGUCGACAGCUUAUGUAAUGUAAUUGUGGAUGCGGGGGAGGAAGAGAGACCCCUUAUAUGUGCCUUGAGCAAUUAUAACCAUAAGCAGCAAACGUUGACGAUCUCUAAUCAGCUCUUAUGACAACUAAAACCAAAAAAAUCAUUGCCAUUCCGUUAUGCAAUACAGAAACAUUUCUUACCAAAAAUUGAGAAAAAAAAAAAGGAGGAAACAUUAGAACGCGUGAAAAAACAAAACAUGAAAAAAUCGCAGAAUAAUCCUAAGCGAUUGUUUUCUUUUCUAAUCUAAUUCAUCACCACCGUCCUCCUCAAUCUUUUGUCCGAAACCUCUAGGCCCAGCUCUUGCUCUACUUCCCAUCUUCCCCUUCUUAACCCUUUUCUUCUUCUCAGCUGCCUCCUCUUUCUCGAAUUGCUCUCUUUCCCUUUUUUGCAAGAAAUCCGUCACACCCAUGUAGAUUACCUGAGAAAGCGAUCAAAACCAUGAAAAAUUAGCAGCAACCCACGUCAGGAUAUCACAAAUCUGAGCACCCCCAUCAAAUUUAAUUCUGGAAAUUCUCACAAGAAAUUAGAAAGAAAAAAAAAGAGAGAGUUGCAGAUGUGUGUGCAAAAAAGGCUGCAGCUUUGAGUUUUUACCCCAACGGUGAGAAUAGAUAAGCCUACGAAAGCAACGAACAGCAGUGCAAAUAUGAUGGAGGAUGCACCAUCAUCACCUGCGGAGACCAGUUCUUGGGAAUUCUCAACGGUGCUCGCCUCUAAAAGCAAAAAACUGUCCCUAAAAGCAGAAAUUUUCCAUCCUUUACCGGUUUUUAGAGGAAGCGCGCAGGGUGGAUUUGGAUAAGAUAAUUUUCUCCUUGAGGGAAAAGAGGAAGGUACCAAUGCAUGAGGCUUAGGCCUGAGAACUAAAGACGUUGGAAGAUGUGAAGGGGAUAUAGUUAUGGAUGUUGUGGCCAUGAGACAUCUGCCACCACUUCUUCCAGACUAUCUUCCACCGUAGUUUUCCUAGCUAUCCAACUCCCAUGAGUCUUUUUGGCUUCCGGCUCCCAGCUGGGUAGGAUAGUGUUCGGGGAAAUCAAGGGACAAAUCAUCUUUGAGUGUGCUGUAAAAGACUCAAUGAAAGACUGACACGUGUCAUAACAGCACUUCCUCUUUAUUGUUUCCUCCACUGAAUAUUAUUUACUUUAGUAAAUUCAUUUAGACAAAUUUUUAUACGUUAAGAGCAUAAAAACUAAAUCGUGCAUAUGAGAUUAAUCUUUUAUACAUAGAUAUCAUAAUACCAGCAAUUCUAAAUACAUGUUAUAAGCAGUAGAUAAAGAGAUAUUUCAAUUUAGUAACAUUAUGGAUUAAUAAUUCUAAAUAUCCAAGUCUAAUUGAGCAUUCUGGAUUGUGAUUUUUUGCAAAUUUUUUUUUUUUUUUUUACGUUUUUUGUAAAUAUAUAUUUUUAAUUAAAUUUUUACCUCAAAUAUAUCAAAUUAUUACAUUAUAUUUUUUUAUAAAAAAAUUCUAAAAUAGCAAUCCGAACGGGAACUUUCGUAGCAGUAUUGGUCAUUUGGUUGAGCUACUCUAGUGCUCCAUAAACGUUUAUUAUUACUUAUUCGGGUCAGAAGGGAAUAUUUCUUUUUUUUUUUUUUUUAUGGGAAAAGAUAUUGAUUUUUGGGCCUAGCUAACCAAUUUGAUAUUGGGCUGACUUCUCUAUGUGAUCAAGAAUAAUGGAUGGUUACGUCUAUUCAAGUGAUGUCGGGACCUGCCACAUCUUCCAUUAUACUAGUACAUCUUUUCAUUUUUGCCUGUCUUAUUUCCUUUCUGAUAGGGCAGGGCAGUAGGCAAAGCAUACUUUAGAUGGCAUGACUGUUAACAAUGCACAUUGCACCAGGAAAGAAUGAUACGCAACACAUUUCGGAAAUGGGGCAGGGACGGUCCCUGAGCAGUUAAAAGGCCAUGAUUUGGCCAAAAAAUUUUGUGCAGUCCAGAUAACAAGUUGUGCAUCGAUUUUCAUACCGUGUGUGGGGCCCGCAAAAUUUUGUAUUAAAGUUACACUAUGUGCAAAUAAAGUUACGCCGUGUGUAAUCAAAGUUACGCGCUGUUGAAAAUGACCAAAACCGUUGGGGACGGUUGCACCUGCAACCGUCUGUGCCCUUUGUCCACACUAGGGUUGCAAAUGAAUCAAGCGGCUCGAGUCAAGCUCGACUUGAGCUCGAUUCUUGGAUUGCGAGCUCGAGUAUAUAUAUAUAUAUAUUUUAUUUUAAGUAUAUAUAUAUUUUUUUUUAUUUUAAGUAUAUAUAUAUUUUAUAUUUUUAUAAUUUUAAUAGUAAAAUUACAUAUAUAUCCUUAAUAUUUUAUUAUUUAUUAAGAAAAAAAUAUUAUUUUUUUAUUUUUUUCGAGUUCGAGCUCGAGUUGAAAUUGUCAGCUCGUCGAACUCGAGCUCGAGUUCGAGUUUAAUGAAAUUAUGUUGAGACUCGGUUCGAUUAGGUCAAAACUCAACUCGACUCGACUCGGCUCGUUUGCAGCCCUAGUCCACACAUUUCAGGGUGGCAACGGGAGCUGGUGCGCUAGGGUAGAAAUGGGGCGGGGCGGAGCGAAGGCAGGGGCAAAAAAUUUUCCCCGCCUUAAAACGGGACGGGGGUGGGACAACAUACACCCGGCCCAUCUUCAACAUACAAAAAAAAUUAUAUAUAUAUGUGUUUAAAUUUAUAGAUGUAUAUAUAAUACAUAUAUAUAUACACACACAAUUAGUUAUAAUUCAAUUUUUUAUAUUUAAUAAUAUAAUUAAUAACAUAAUUGUGAACAUAUAAUUGUGACUUCAUUCUAUAGCAUCUCAGUUGAAUAUUUUAAUGUUAUUUUCAUGCCAUUGACAGGUUGCUAAUAUUCUUUAGUUACUAGUAUUUGCAACUCGUUAAAUGGUUUAAAGUUGAGUACUUAAGCAUUUCUUAUUAAAUAUUUUGAAAUAGAAUAAAUGAUAAAAUUGUCCCAUAAAUAAGUAGAUUGUUAAAUAUGAUAGGUUGAUUUAUUCCCCCACAGGGAUUGAGGGCGAAACGGGGUGGGAGUGGGGCAGGAGGCAAGAGGCAAGGGAUGAGAAAGUUAUUUGACAAUGGGACGGGGGGUGAGGAAUCCUUCCCCUGCCCCAUUGCUACUCUUAAACACGUUUAGCUGCACCAUGCAUUAACGUUUGGUUUAGUUGAUAAGGAUGAAGCGUUUCCUCACAAAAUCAGUUAUGUAUACGAGUCUAACUAUAGAUGUGAGAGUUGUGUUAAUAGAUAAUCUAUAAAUAUGUAAAUGAGCCAUACUUAGAUCACAGACAUAGUGAUCUACAAACUUACGGUCACCUAUUAUAACAAAUUUUUGUAAUACCACAAAACACUCCUUCAACAUUGCUAAUUUAUACAUAGCCCCAAUUUUACUUAAUUUUUUUCUCAUGUGUCGGUGUUCCCUUUCUCCGUCUAUUCCCCAUUUCCCUACCUUUGCUUGGCUUCCACUGCCUUUACCUUGUCUACUUCCUUUACUCACCCUUCUUUACUGUGCCUCUUUUACUUCAUUCUAGGUCCCCUGAAUACAAAAUGUUUAUUAUUCAAUUUUGGUACAAAAUAAUAAUUAGGGCACCCACACAACUAUCAAAAACUCAAGAAUUAGGUUGCACAAAACCCAAUGAUAAUUUGGAAGACAAGAAGGUAUAGAAUGUUGAGUUUGAGGGUGAGACAACUUGGUGUUGCCCUUCAAUUUUUCUACCUUUCUUGUUUAAACCCUGAUUCUCAACUGAGUUGUACAACAAAUUCAAGGUUGUCUUGAUUUGUGAGAUUUUGAACUUUUCUUUUACUAAUCGUGAAUUGUGAAAGCAAAAAAUGCCACGAAAAUCAUGGCAAAAGGCAAUAGUUUUGUUCAUACAAGGUGAAGGAGAUGGUUAAGGUUGCUUGUGAAUACAAGAGAUUGACAAUGCAAUGAGGCUGAGGGGGCUGUUUGCAAAAUUUGGAACUAUGGGAGAGGAGUAUAUAAAUUGAUUUGCUUUGCUUACAUAACUAGACAAGCAGGUAAACAUUUUAUUCCAAAGUGAUCGAACGGCCAUAGGGCGUCCGUAACUCAAAAUCAAGUUAUGGACUGUGAUGGCGCUAUUUUUUCUAUGUAAAUAUAUGUAAGAGAUCUAUAAUUUUAGAAAUAUGUCUUGAUGGUGACUAGAAUUGAAACUAUUUAAACUUUCUAUUACAAAAGAAGAGAGAAAAAAAAUGGUGCAUCAUGCCAAAGAAGUCAAAAAUCAUUUGAGCAAUUAGAGAGAUAUUGAAUGACGACUCACAAUGCAAAAUGGGCCGUUUUGGAAAAAUUUAAUGAGCUAGAUUUGGCAAAUGAAUUUGCCAAGAGGCAGAUUAUCCUUUUGAAUUGUUAUUUUUUGGAGUUUCUGUAGAAAAACAUAAUGUAGUGAUUUGAUAUAUGCGAAGCAAAAAGUGAUUAAGAAAUUUAUUCAUGAAAUCGUAAGAAAUUUUGGAUAGAAAAUUGCAAUCCAAACACCACAUUAACCUUUUUUUUUUUUUUUUGUCUUUUUGAGGGUUUGAGAUACUAACUUCAAUCUGCAAUUAUAGGUCAUUUUCAUAUGACCCUUUGGAUAUCGUAAAGACAACAUGCAUUUUUCUUAAUUAAAUAUCACUAACACAAGAACGGACAACUUCUUCAUUUUAAAAAAAAAUUGUGUUAGAAUUUUGUUGUCAACGUGAGAGUUGUAUUGAUGAAUAUUCUGUAGAUAUACAUAUAAGCCAUCUAUGAUUUCGGAGAUAUGCCCACUAAAGUCACCCAAAACUUUUUAUUACCCAAAAAAAAAAAAAUCAAACGUCUACAGACGGAGUGGAAGGUGAACAAGAUACUCUACCAGAUCCAAGUAUACAAGCCUUUACGGUGAAAAAAUGGAUUACUUGUAGCAAUUUUUUGUGGCGGCAUACGUACCGGUAGUACCGGCUAUUUGAUGUCUUUUGAGAACCCAAUCCGCCGUAAUGUCCAUUUUUGUUGUUGUUACCAGAAUGUUUUCAUGGGGCAAUUUUCGAGGAGAGAUAUCCCUCGAACUUCAGGAUCUGCAUCAUGCGAUCAUGUUGUAACUGGCUCUGCUCACCGUUGACGUGCCUAGGAAUCUGGGCGUGGGGGCUAGUUCGUGGACAAUCCAACGGUGAAGAGAGCAGCACCACAGCAGCUCCCAGUUUGUGCAGUCGGUAAUUGUCCACGUCUUCCCGACACAGCUGUUUUCCAAAGUUAAAUAAUUCCAUUGGUCCACGAUGCCGCCUUUGGUAUCUUUUCACCAAUAACAUCUCCACUUUGUGUUUGCGCUUUUUAUCCCCAUUUGCAGCAAUGAAUGCAAUCAAGAGUCAAACGAUGAAAUGGAAGCUGGAGAAACCCGAAAACCGCUGCAGCCGCAAUUCGGUCAAUAGUAGAAAGAAUUUCCUAAAAUUGGGACCAAAAAAUGUACAGUAUACUCUUACACAAUUUAUGUUUGUAGCGGUAUUACCAAUCCUAUGGUGGUAGUCCUCUUAUUUGGAUUUGCUUGACAAAAUUGGAAUACUACAGAAUUUACACCUACAUUCGUAUGUAUAUGCAUUUAGGCAAUAAAUUAGAAAUCUAUAAAUGUAUGUAAGUGUACGUACAUUUCAGUGUUAAUUUACUUUAUUCUUACAGAGCCGAUAAAAAAAAAAUCAACUUGGUCAUUUGAUACUCAGAAAAUAAAUUAGGGGUUGGGAUUUGGAUUCUUGAGAGUCUCUGAUUAGAAGAAAAUUCGUCAUCAUGAAUUGGUGGUAAUCAAAGACACUAAAUUUUGACAAAAAUAACCCAUACUUUUUUUUUUUUGAUAAUAAAAAUAACACAUACUUGAUCUAACUAGCGUAUGAGUACCUUUCCAAAGCAAGGAAGGUUUUGGGUAAGGAUCGGAGAAGCGAGAGAGAGUGGAGCCCAAGUGGACGGAGAGCGAGUGAGAGAAUUGGAAGAAGAAGAUUUUCCCAAACAUCAGACAGCAAAUAAAGUAAGAGAGAUAGAUAUUUAGAGGAUCAAAAAUAUCUUAGCCAAGGCAUCCAGCGUGGCACCCCAUUUGGAAUCAGAUAUUGCACUUUUUCCUUCACUUUUUAGUAUUUCCCCAACUUAUUUAUUUCCCCCCAUUUUCCACCGCCCUCUUCUUCUCUUUCUCUUUAUUUCUCCUAAAAGUAUCUUCCCAUUUCCCCCCCCUGAGAGAAAAUAAAAUAAAUUACGUGCCGUUUUUUUUUUCUUUUUUUGGCUGAAUUCAGGCAUGGGCGAAGAAGUGAAAAUUAACGGUUACGAUAACGGCAGCGGCAGCGGCAGCGGUGAUGACGACAGAGUAUCCGAUUGGGAAGCCGGAUUACCUGGCAUCGAUGAUUUGACUCCCUUAUCUCAGGCGUUGAUUCCGCCGGAUCUUGCUUCGGCCUUCAGAAUCACCCCGGAACCUUCCCGGAGCAUGCUCGACGUCAACCGUGAGUCUCAGAAAAUUUUAGCCUCCCUCUGCGGCGGAGCCAGCGGCGGCAGUAGUCAUCACUCUCAAGCCUUAUCUUCGUCGAAUAAUUUCAAAUCAUUCCACGAUGGAACCACCAUCACCGGCAACCGGACCCACCGGGACAACAUGAUUAUUGAUAUUGACGAAACCACCGAUCUGACCCGAGAAGGCUCCGAUUCCAGGAAGACCCGAAGAUUAACGGAAUCCCCGACUGAAGAAGCUGAUUCCUCAGCUGCCGGGAAAAAUAGUUGUACUAAUAAUAAUGAGAAUUGCGGGGAGGAUGUUUCUGCCCGGACUUUGAAGAGGCCGAGGCUGGUGUGGACUCCGCAAUUGCACAAGCGGUUCGUCGACGUCGUGGCUCAUUUAGGGAUCAAAAUGCUGUCCCAAAAACAAUUAUGCAGCUGAUGAACGUGGAAGGAUUAACGAGAGAAAAUGUUGCCAGUCAUUUGCAAAAAUAUCGCCUUUAUUUGAAGAGAAUGCAAGGUUUGUCGACGGAGGGCCCGUCCUCGUCGGAUCAUUUGUUCGCCUCGACGCCGGUGCCGCCGAGCUUGCAUGACUCUACCGGUGGUGGCAGCGGCGGAGCUGCAACCGGGCAUGGACAUGGACAUGGGAAUAGUAAUGGGCAUGUUGGUAUGCCGAUUCCGAUGCCUUAUCCGCCUCCGGCGGGGGCACAGAUGGUUUCGGUGCCGAUGAUGGGAAUGCCGGGGCCGACCCCGGGCGGUUAUCAUGGGUAUGAAUCUCAUCAUCAUCAUCACACCAUCACCAUCAGUAUGGUAUGGUACAACAGCAGAGGGACUGGGCUGGGAAUAAAUUUGCGACUUUGGCGCCAUAUCAUCACCAUGUUGCUCCUAAUGAUAAAUAACUUUUUCAAGUCUUUUGAUGUGCCGAGGAGUAGUAGAAAGGAUAGGUGAGGUUCUUGUUUUCUGUAUUGCAGUCUCAUUUAACAUUAUUGGAGUUCUUCAUUUAUUUAUUCAUUUUUGUUUCUUAGUUUAGCUGAUACAAGUUGGUUUUGGGUGUAGGAUAGAGUGAGCUCUUUGGGAAUGUGACUAGGCGAAUUGCCAAUAGGAUUUUUCCUUGGUAGAUUUUUUUUUAAAUUUGUUUCGUGGGUGAAUUAAUGGCAUUUUGAUCUUGUCAAGCUUCCUCUUCCUUCCUCAGUUUGGGUCCAUUAGCUCUAUCCUCAAUUUUAGAUCAUUCUCCAGUUCAAAUGUAGACAUUCUUCUUGGUGCAGAUGCAAUGAUCUUUCAGCGCCUGUUGGUUUUAUGCCCUCACAGCCUUAUCCAUGUUAGUCAUUGCAUGGUCACGUACAACUUCACGUUUGAUGCCAUCAGAACCAAAACGGGAUUCAUUUUCUUGUUAUAGUCUCCAAAAUGAUUAGACUAUUGCCUAUUAUUAUGCGUCAGAAUGCAAAACAAAUUAUGCUGCUCUGUGGUGCCUUGUUUGUGAACAAAUCUGUAAUGCCUGCAUGACAAGGAGCCACUGUUCUCAGUGAUUCUUGAAUUGCAAAUGUUGACACUUAUCAUAUGAGAAUAAUCUCAGUUACAGCUUGAACAUUCAUGCAACAACAGUGUAAAGAGUGACUUGUUUCUUAAGUGAAUGUAAAACUGCGUUUUAGACAACUAAACUCUUUGACUUGUCCUACUUUUUUUUGUAAGGUGCUGACUGCUGAGAGUAAAUCCAACUGAAAAAAUGUUUGAUUUUUGAUUAAUGUGAUUGAAUUUUGGAUUGAUGAGAAGAAAUUAAAUGUGGUUGCAAGGGGAUGCUCAUCUAGAUACAGGAAAUGUGUAUAAUUGAAGUAUACAUCUUACACUUAAAUAAAGUGUACAUUCAUAUAUGCUUCCGACUCAAUAGUGCAAAUUUCUCAAUGAAUUUUAAUCACUGAAUUUCAACUUAUAUUGUAGCUUGAGCAUGGACCCUUCAGAUGUUGGUGAAGUUUCAAUGAAACCAUUGGAAACAGUUUCAGAUGUAACCAGUGACAUUCUGCACCCAUAUGUUAGCUAGGCAGCAGAAAGACUACGGCUCGAAAUCUAGUGGUGAUACAUUAAGUGGAAGUUGGUCUCAGGAUAAUAUCAUCUACCUGCUGCAACUUGUUAGUAUAUUCUUAGCCUGUUCAUUAUUGAUAAUAGUAUUUUCUUAUGUAUUAAUGACUGCUGAAUGUUCCUCUACAGCAACCAGAUCACAAAUAAAUAAUAGAAUUAGUCAAACAUUUGCCAGCAGCUCUUGCCCAUUGGUAUUCUAUGCCUAUCCUCCUUUAUCUACGUUUAUGUAUCAGGCCUUUUCUUUACAAAAAGAAUUAAAAAAAAAAAGAAAAUUGUACAUGCAAGGGCAAUAUUCUCAAGUUUUGACUAAUAGGACAUUACUUAAUUGAAAUGUUUUCCUUGACUAUAUUAAUUUGUAUUCGUUUCAGUUGGGCUAUAAAGGUGGACUGUUUUCAGUACAGCUAGGGAACAAUGAGAUACUGUCUACAUCACUAGGCUGUAGCGUAAUGCAUGGAUACAUGACUCUGAUUUCUUUCCCUGGAUGUGUUUAAACUUGUGCAUUUCGGCAAGUGAAGUGAACUAAAGCCAUAUAGCUGCAGCUUGCAAUAUAUGUGUUGUUUUGCAAUCAUCUUCUUGAUUUAUAUUGUUUCUUUUAAAGAGCUGGAGAUCAGUGCAGAUUUUCCCAAAUGUUGGAUUUUCUGUGUUAUAGUCAUCAUGUAAUAAUCAUUUUUCUGUUCUAGUUUUGCAACUCUAAUUUUUGCCUAUCCCUACUACCAUCCCAAAAAAUGAAAUACUUAAAUAGCUUGAUCAACACAUGCUGGAUAUAUUGUUUGCUGUUGAUUGGUGAACUUUAAUGAGACAGUUGCAGCCCGUUUACUGCUUAUUGCACUGGCACUCGACAAAGGGACUUGUUUCUGGAUAUAGUUGAGUAGAUACUAGAUAGGGAAAGCCUACUCAGCAACAGCCUUGGAUUGGCCAUGCCCUGUGUCUUUUUUUUCCCCUCUAAUCGAUCCCAGUGGAUAUAUUAAAAUUUGUUUGCAUGUUUGGUUUCCACAUCUAAAAUUGUGUUUGUAUUUUUCCUAAGUGACUUGUUUGGACUUGGAAAUGGAUCACUUUCACAACUGUGUUCGAGUUUAAGAAUUUACUAAUUCUCCUCUUUAAGAGUUGCAUAGGAUUCGAUUUGGGUUGUAAAAGUGUAGAAAACUACGAAGAGAAAAUUUCUUAUAUGUCAAGUAUGUAGCCUGAUUCCUAGCUUAAAAUUGGUUAUUGUUGACUUUAUACUGUUAAUAUGGUACAUGAUCGACACUAACAAUUUCACAGACAAUUGACUGAACGAUAAAACUGAUUCAUGUUUAACUAAAUUUAUUACGAGAUCAUCGUCUUGAUGAACUUAAACAUCAAUUCACUAUUUUUUUUUUCCGAAACGAUAGAAGCUUUUAUUACUCAAAAGGGUAACCAUACAUAAUCAUCAACUUCACUAUGACAAAUUUCUAAAGCUAGAAAUUGGCCGCUCAGGAAUCAACUCACUUGUUGCAACCACGUUUAACGUCUCAUACCACCUCUAUCCAACUACAGCCAGGAAAUUUUUUCAGUUUCUUUUUCUUCAUUAUCCUCUUCAGCUCGUAGCUUUUCCCCACCUACUGGAAGCAGAAUAUAGAUUUGACAACAAAACACUACUUCCUCGACUCUCAGGCUCAAGUUUAACCAGCUGAUCUGCCGCAAUUUCUGCUAGAUCGACAUUGCCAUGCUGUCUACAUGCACCUAAUAAUGCUCCCCACACAAAUAAGUCAGGCUCCACUGGCAUCCUCUGAAUGAAACCAUAGGCCUCGGCAAGCUUCCCUGCCUUUCCAAGAAGAUCAACCACGCAAGCAUAAUGCUCUAAUCUUGGCUCAAUCCCAUACUUUUCUUGCAUCAAUUGGAAUAGGCUCUCUCCAAGUGGUACCUCCCUGCAUGACUACAAGCUGUCAGAGCAGCAGUAAAAGUCAAGUGAUUCAGCUCUCUUUCUUCCUCUCUUAGCAUUUUGUUGAAUAGUUCAAUUGCUUUGUCAGAAUGUCCGUGAUUUGCAUAACCAAAAAUCAUGGAAUUCCAAGUAACUGUAUUCCUUUCAGGCAUGUUGUCAAACAACCCCCUUGCUUCAUUGAUAUACCCGCAUUUGGCGUACAUGUCGAUGAGAGCACUCCUGACAAAGAUAUCCUUCUCCAUUUCCAUCACGAUUGAUAGCCAUGUAUUUCCUUUCCAUGUUUUAUAUCUGCUGCAGUUGCACAAGCAGGUAAGAGACCACUGAUUGUAGCUGCUGUACUCGGACGCGUCCCGCAUCCAACAUCCAUUUAAAUGUAUCAAAAGCCUCUUUGUUACAAAGUUCUGCACAAAACCAGAAAUUACAGAAGUCCAGGACACCAUAUCAGGCUCAAUCCCAUCUUUGCGCAUCUGUCUGAACGUUUCCCAAACCAUCACUUCGUCAUUUUCUUGCGAAAAUCCAGCAAUAAUUGUAUUCCAUGUGAUGACAUUGGUCUUCAUUCCUAGUAACUUCAUUUCUUGAACCAAAACCAAUGCCUGCUUAACAAUCCCAUGUUGAACAUAUCCAGAAACCAUAGCAUUCAGAGCCACUAAAUCUUUAUCCGCCAUCCUGUCAAACACCCUUUUUGCACUCUUGAUGUUCACACAUUUCGAAUACAUAUCAAUCAGCGCACUGAUCACAAAAGCAUCAGACUCAAAAUCAUAUUUCACCACCAAAGCAUGUACUGUUUCACCAGUUCGCAUAUCGAGAGGUGCCCACAAGCUUUUAGUGCACUAGGAAUGACAAACUCACUGGCUUUCGUCCUUCCUUUUGCAUUUCAGAGAAAACAUGCAUUGCCUCCUGAUACAACCCAUUGCGAGCAUAGGCCCCAAUUAGAGCAACCCAACGUCGAACAUUUGACUUGGGAAUUUCAUCGAACAGCUUCUGAGCAUGGGAUAAUGUUUGCACUCGUAUAAAAGGCUAUGAGCUUAGAAGCGAAGUGGGGUUUACAAGCCAACCCGUUGAUAAUCAGGUGAGCGUGUAAAGCUCUACCAGAUUGCAGGGCUCGAUCUCGACCAAAUUUCUCAAUGAUUUUUGUGUAGCCAUUGGAUGAGGAGUGAAAGGGACGGAAACUUAAAAGAAAUUUCUGCAGAGGGCUCCAUCUGGGAAUGAUUGUUGUACUAAGAUCAGCCCUCCUAAACAUGUGAAUAUCUACAUUGGUUUAGGCAAGAUCAAUGUUGACACAUAUACAGAAGCUCUUCAAAAUUCAAAUCCACAUCCCCGGUUAUACGUAGGGUAGAAAUCUCCGAACUUGAUCUAAAAUUAACAAAGCAGUUUAAUGUUUUAAACCUUAAUUGUGACAAAAUAUAUGAGCACUUGGCUGCAUUAGAUGAAAGUGGUAAUCGAAAAUUGUACCUCUUUUUUCUUUCGUGAAAUGGUAUGCUGAAACGAAAGCUCUUUCUUCCAAGAGCUGAGAGUUAUUGAUGGAUAGAAAAUUGCGCUGGGAAUAAAAGAACAAGGAAAAAGAAACGAAACGCCGUUCAAAGAGGUAAGACCAUGUAAGCUACAAACUUGAAUCUAGUUUAUCACCAGGGAAAUGCUUCAUGACUAUUAUCAAUUCAAAUAAAUGCAUGCAUACAUACAUAAUAACAAUUGUACUACAUGCUAAUUUAAAGGGAAAAUCUACCAAGAGUUCUACAGAGGUACAAUUAUGAUCCCUCACAGGAAAAAAAAAAAAGUAAAGGGAUGAUUUUGACAAGUCUUUCUUGAAAACUACCAUCCCUAUGCUUGAAAAUACUUCCAAAAGCAAGCAUUACGAGAUUGUACAGCAUGUUCAAGAAAGAAUCCUAGUUGCUGCUUUCUACAUUUUGGUAAAAUUGGUUGAGACAUGCUCUCAUCUUAGCUACAUGGCGUCAUUGAUAAGUAGUGGACAAUUCUCCAUUGCAUUCUGAUUGCAUUGGAGUAUCAAGUCCCUCUGAAAGUAGACUGACAUCCAUUUUGAACUCCUCUGAUCAAUUCAAUGAAAUUCGUUUAGUAGACUCCUGCAAAUGCAGUACGAUACACCUUGCAGCAUGGUCAGAUUAAAGAAUUUUACUUCUAGUUCACAAAGGGGUCACUAACUAAGAUGGGUUAUCCACAUCUUAGUUAGCGUCACCAGAAAUCCCCACAAGAACAGCAACCCUGCUUGAAGUGAUGAAACCUGUAAUUAUCCCUUAGUAAUAUUUCAUGUUUAGUAAUCUUUGAUAUGUGCUUCAUUGUUGUGUGACAAUCUGAGCAGACUCGAAUGUUCUUGAAAAUACGAAUAGGGGUUCCAGCAGGCAAAUUUAAUAAGCCAAAGCAAACUGCAAGCUUCUCACUAUGAUACAAAAGCUUCCCUUCAUUACAUAGUCCUAGUUCUGUAUGAGGUGUAGAUAUCUCACUCAAAGUCGAAGCAUGAUUGACUACCCUGAUAUCAUUAAUGAGCUUCUCUAACAGGUCAUAUACUUCUGGAGUUUGAGGGUGAGUUGUAUCUCCUGAAAAGAACUUGUACGUUUUAUUUUUAACCUCAAUCCAGCUAUAACCUGGUUCCUUCUUAACCUCCUUCAGUUUCAUUAGUUCUCUUUGCUUAACCAAUUCACCUAAUCUUCCUACAUCAAAGUACAUGUUUGACAAGGUGACAUGAACUGAUGCAUCAUCUGGUUCUAAUUCUAGGAUACGAUUGGCAACAUAUUCCCCAGUUGAAGGUCACAGUGACAUCUGCAACCCGCGAGCAAUGGUCUCCAUAUUGGAGCAGUGGGCUUGAUUGGCAAUCUUUUUAUGAAAUCUAGAGCAUCCUCCAGAUGUCCUGAUCUGCUAAACAAGUCUACCAUGCAGCAAUAAUGUGUUUCCUCAGGUAUAACACUGUAGUUCAUCAACAUGGAUUUGAAAAAUUCUUUGCCUUCUUGAACUAAUCCGCAGUGGCUACAAGCAGAAAGAACUGCAAGAAAAGUAGAACCACUUGGCUUUACACCCUCCACAACCAUCUUUUUAAACAAAGAUACAGCCUUCUCAAAGUAUCCAUGCUGUGAGUAAGCUUUGACCAAGCAAUUCCAUGACACAAUAUCCGGCAUUGAUAUCUGGUCAAAUACCUUUUCAGCAUCAUCUAAACUGCCACAUUUUCCAUACACUUCAAUUAACGAGCUUGCAACAUGUAAGUUUCUUUCAGAGCUGGCUUUAAUCACCCAACAAUGAAUUUGCCUGCUUGUGGAAAGGGAUGGAGAGAAGAACAAGCUUUCAGGGCAUUUGAAAAGGUGUACUCAUCAAUUGGUACGUAAUUUAGAACCAUUUUAUGAAAAGCCUUCAAUGCUGCUUCUAUGUUAUUAUUGUGAACAAACCCUGCAAUUAGUGCAUUCCAUGAUACAGCGGAUGCUAUUGUACCCAUCUCCUGAAGCUGUUUUUCAGCAUUAUCCAUUUGCCCAAGCUCUGUAUACAUGUCUACGAUUGCAGUGCCAACAAAAGCUCCGAAGCCAUGCCCUUUUUAACUAGUUGAGCAUGAAGUGCAUAACCAUUGUCAAACUGCUUUAUACCUCCACAAGAAGAUAAGGCCAUGGUCAAUGUAUAUUCAUUUGGUUCAAAUCCAUGUUGUCUCAUCAAGUAGAACUGCAGCAGGGCCUUCUCUAAUGCUCUUUGCUGGUAAAGUCCAGAUAUAAUGGCAGUCCAAGAUACAACAUUCUUCUUAGGAAGACUUUGAAACAAACUUUGAGCAUUCUCCAUCAUCCCAAACUUGCAAUACAUUGUCAAAAGAGAAUUAGCAACAACUCCAUUAACUACAUCCUGCUGCAGCUUCACUACAUGUGCAUGGAGCUGAAUCCCUUCAUUGAUAGCAAAAACACUCCCACAACCAGAUAUCAUGAUCGAAAAUGUGUAGUGAUUCGGCCUUAUUUCCCAAACUCCCAUCUGGCAAAGAGCCUAAAGCUUCAUCAAACAUUUCAUUGCUCAGAAACCCAGAAAUCAAGCAAUUAUAUGAAGCUACAUCAAUGGAAAGCAUCCCAUCAAAAACCUUCACUGCACUACCAAUUUCGCCACACUUGGCAUACAUAUUAACAAGAGCUGUAUCCACAAUCUUGUCACCACAAAACCCUGUCUUUAUCACCAAAGCAUGGAAUAUCUUGCCAACUCCUAAAUUUCCUUCCCUACUGCAAUAACUCAGUUGAUCUACAAUAUUUUUCUUAUCCGUCAAAUUCCAUUCCCAACAAAGCAAACCAGGCAUUGCAUUUACUCCCUGCUCUUUACAUGCAUCGUAAAUGAUUCCACUAAUUAGUUCAAAGUCGGUGUCUUCUAUUACACCCAUUUCACUUCCAUUUACAGGACGAGUCAUACCGGAACCCGAGACAGAAACAUUAAUCCUUUGAGUGAUUUUGUCAAGCAACUUAAAGUCAUUCCUGAACCUGAGAUGCUCAAUUCCAAAUUUCUUAAUCCUUUGAGGCUCAAGAGGCUCUUUUUUGUUGCAAGCAAAAGAACAUAAAGGUGAAUUCCCCACAAUCAUCUUCCAAGUAGUUGCCAUCAGAUUCAUAUCUUAUGAUGAUUGAAUAUGCAUGGAGAUUUGGCCGUCUCAGACACUUCAAAGACUAUAUUUGCCAAUUUGGCAGCCUACAAGGACUUCUGUUUGAGCUCAAAAUCUCAAACUCAAGCAAGGACUUCGACACCCAUUUACAGCACUAGGAGAAAGAAUGUACAAAUACGUAGUUUUAAGGGACGGAGCACUAGUUCACUACAGAAAGCCUGAUAUUGUUAAGGUUGCAGUUCCUGCCAAAUCUCAAAGCUAGGUGAUUUUUUUUUUUUUUUUUACUGGAAGCUAGAAGCGAGGCGAUAUUUAUUUAACCAAUUAAGAGAGGUACCUGGCCCGCAGGGUAGCUCGAGCGGUCCACUCCCUCUCCUUAGGGUGUGGCGAUCUUCCUGAUUUGUCCAGGGUUCGAGUCCCGCUGUUAACGUGUUCGAUGUGGAAUGGGGUCUCCUCUCCCGGGCCUCAGGGGAUUAGUCGGACCCCGUAAGAAUUGACCCGAACACCCUGCGUCGACAAAAAAAAAAAAAAAAAAAAAAAAUUAAGAGAGGUAUCUCGUUACCAUGCUUUUUUGGAGAUGUUUUAAAAUAUUUAUCAUGUAUAAAAAUUAAAUUUUUGAUACGACAAAUAAAUUGAUAUAUAUAUAUAUAUAUAUAUAUUUUUUCAUCCUUGUCGGCUUCUGGUGGUUAAAAAUAGGUAACAAUUUGUCAACCGGGGAUUUAAGGACCGCACACACAAAAAGGAUAGAUGCCGUCCCAUCCACAAGCGUUCUCCUCUCCCCUUGAAGGAGGAGAAAAUCACCGGAAACUACUGGCUGUAGUUAUGAAUACAAGUUCAAGAACAUGCAUGGAUUUGCUCCGUCUCUGACACCCUUUAGAAACUUCCUAGCUGUAAAACCAUUAUUGUUCUCUGAAGCUCAAUCCAAGUUUUUGGUACCGGAUUGCAGCAAGUUUAUUGUGAUAAAGCAACCGGGUUUUUCUCACACUUUGAGCUGCAGAAACUACUACUGCUAUGGAGAGAGGAGAAAUAAGAGGUGCGCUAGUGUGAGGGCGAGUCGAAGAGAGUCUCCACACGAAGUUUUAGGAGUGUCUCCUUCUGCAACUCCCAAUGAUAUCAAAAGGGCCUAUCGCAAGCUCGCUCUCAAGUAUCAUCCCGAUGUCAAUAAGGAGGUGUGCUUCAUUAAUCUUGGUCAUUAUAUUUAUGGGAUUUAUUAGUGUUUUCUGGUAUUUUCUCCUGCUGAUCUAUAGUCUGUGUUCCUGUGAUCUUUGUCCACUUAGUUGAAAUUGUCACACAUCUCAAACCUAAUUUACUGUUACUAUGCAAGAUUAACAUCAAUAUGUUUAGAAAAGUGAUGAUUUUUGAGCACUCGUCCAAGGAAAUACGUAUAGACUGAUUUAAAUUUUGAUUUCCUGGUUCAAAGUUUGGUUUCCUCGAGUAGGAACGUGAGCGGGUACAAAUAAUGCUGCCUCGACGAACUUUGUCAACCAAAGUCGGAAAAUUUUAAUACUAGCCUUUACUCCAGCUAGCUAGAUCUUAAAAGACUUUCCUUGGGACAUAUAAUAAUAUCCUCUGUUAUUUUUGUCUGAAGACUUCACUCGGUUCGCUGGUGUAUAUAAACCAUUUCGAGAAAUAUGGCCAAUUAAUAAAAUUGGAACUGUAUACAAUGUUGCCUUGUGAGCUCUUUGAGAAUUGAAAGCUGCAUCUUGGGUGGUUAAUGGUAAGGAUACGUUGGAGAAAUUCCUAGAAAUUGUGCUGUUAUUCUUUGUAUUUCCUCUUCCUUUCUUGCAUUCUUCUUUUAAUCUCCUUAAGAAUCUUUUGCCUUGCAUUUUGGGUGCCGCAUCAGCACUCAAUUGUCCUUGUUAAGGUAUUGAUAAUCUUUUAGUAAAUAUUAGAGACGAUUGACUGAUGCUGGAAUUUUCAUGCUCUCUCCGCUUUCUUCACCCUCUUAUUAUAGUGCACAAUUACCCUUGUCUCUCUUCCAAAUUGCACGUCUCCUUGGCUAAUGUCCAUCAGAAACCAAUUGUCUAGUUCCUUUCUGCUAGCUUCUCAACAGGGCCGAAGCAUCUAAUUGCUAGCAGGCACUGCCACGUUUACCUUUUGGUGUACUUGUUGUGGGGCUUUAACUCAAGGCAGUAGUAAGUUUGCAGAAAGGAAGAGAGAGAGAGAGGGAUGGGGAGAGGAGGGGGAAGUGGAGGUGAGUAUGAGGGUGAAAGUGGAAUGCAUAUAGUGGUGGCAAAAGGAGGACUUCUGAUGGGUCAAAUAUCAUGGAAGUGGUUCAAUCCAUAUUUGAGCUUGUCUCAUUAUACCUUCUGGCAGAGGACAUUAACUUUAUUUUGCAUUUGAGACAAUGAACAGACAGAGUCUCAGAAGAUGUUUUUCCAUGUCUAAAGGAUUUAACAUAUUUGAGCUCAUCUCAUUAUACCUUGUGGCAGAGGACAUUAGCUUUAUUUUGCAUUUGAGACAAUGAACAGACAGAGUCUCAGAAGAUGGUUUUCCAUGUCUAAAGGAUUUAACUAUGUUUAUUAAACUGCCAGUAAUGACAUCAAGCAAAUAUUGUUACUUGGGACUCUAUUCUAACUUCAAGGGCUUGUCUUUUGAUAACAUCCAUCAUCCCUCUACUGUCAAGCUCAUUUCAUUAAUGCUGUUAAGAACAAAAGGAGUAUCAUUUAAUUCGGUUAUUUAUUCAAUCAUGACUACUAGCAUGAUUGUCUAUCGAGCUGAUUUAUAUGAUGAUUGCAAAUUUUCAAGGCUAUUCGCAAAUAAGCAUCUCAUACAACACUAGAAUGUCACGUUCGGACAAGAAUUGACAUGUUAAUAGAAGAGUCCUGGCUCAUUUUAUUACCUUAUUGCCUUUCUAAGUACAUGUUUUUUUCCUACUUUUUCUAACAUCUUUUAAGCACUCUAUACAGAAAAGAUGCUUCUCGUUCCAUUUUGGUUCUGUAUACUGUGACAAUUGUCAAAUGGUGGACUCCAUUGGAGUGAAAAUAUUUGAAAGUGUAAAUCGCGUUCUCAAUCAGCCACAAGCGGUAGUUUGCUGUUAUUCUGGAAUAUGGAUUAACAACAUAAUGUAAAUGGAACAAGGGGUAAAUAUUGUCUGCUUAAAAUCUUUGAAGAGCAAAGAAUUUGUAAAUCCAGGCUAUUUUGUGUAAUUCACUCAAAGGGAUUUCAGUUGUGUUAACCUUGAAAUAUGAGUUCAUGUAUCAGACAUACAUUAUUGGUUCACCUCCAACUCUUUGUACCCAUUACAACCUCUGAUUCUUUCUCCGUUUAAUAUCUGCAGGCGAAUGCACAAGAAAGAUUCAUGCGGAUUAAGCAUGCGUACAAUACAUUGCUAAAUAAAUCUGACAGAAGAUUUGAUAAGGGAAACCGUGGAUCUGAAUCUUCUUAUUCCACAGCUGGUAGAAAUGAUAAUUGGACUGUGAACAAUGAUGAAGAGUUUUAUGGAUUUGGUAAAAUCUACCUGCUCUUGGAAAUCUUAUGCUGUUUGACUAAUGAGAUUAUUGGUUUCUGUGCUGCAUUUAUGUGUUACUUUUGUUUUCUGUUUGCUUUUACUCUGAACAACCUUAAGUUGUGAGAAAUGUCUUAGAAGGUCAGUUAGCUACCCUGGCUUUGUCCUGUCCUCCUUUUUUUCCCACUGGUACGAACUUGACAUUUCAUCCAAAACGAGUCACAGCUUGUCUUGCCCUAACAACUUGUACAAAUUGAUGUUAUUGUAAUUGUUCUUUAUGCAAUUUUCAGUUCUAGCUUUUCAUUUCUAUUUUGCAAGGCAUUGCAUGAACACAGAGCGCAUCUAAUGCUUUAGAGUAUGACAUUCUCUCCAUCUAUUCUCAUGUUUAACCCCUUCAUGCUGCAGGUAACUUUUUGAGGGAUGUCCAAAUAUCCAUAGGUAGAUAUGUGCACUUUGCAUGACAAUGAGAGCCCUGAUACCACCUUGCAUUAUCUUUCUUAAAAAUGCUUUUCAUCUCUGUCUUGAAGUUAAUAUGCACAUGGUUUUGACGUUUAGAUGUUUUGUUGCAGAGGACUUCUUUAAGGAUCUUCAAAAGAAUUUCGGAACUGGGAGGCUGGUGCUGAUUCGCAAGGAAAGCCAAAGAGCUUGUGGGAGGAAUUGGCGGUAAGAGAUUUUCUGCGCUUGAAGUAGACUGAGUAGAAAUUCAUUAGAAAGAGGGAGGUGCUUGCUGGGUAAAAGCACUAUUGGUUCUCUUAUGUUAUUUCUUUGUUCUUUUGAGCCUGGGGUUGAAGCAUGUUGAUUAUAUCCUUCCAUUGGCCAAUUUUUUAUUUGCUUUUUUUUUUUUAACUGAAAGCACCAAUGAUAUGAUCAAGGUGCGGUUGCAGCUUGUCACUAAUUUGAUUGUCUGCAGGAAAUUGGAGAAGAAUUUGUUGAGUUUUUGGAGAAAGAGCUGAACAUUUCUGACGUUGAAGCGGAACAAACCAAGGGUAACCAGCAGCAACGGGGUAAUGCAUCCUACGGAUCAAAGGAAACAGGAAAUGUAAACCAAAAUGAUGCAGGCAACAGUGGAUCGAGGAAAAUAUCAAUGAUAUCGAGGCAGCCCUUGCGCAGUUGAAGAAGGAACUGGGUCUUUAAGGAUUCUACGCUCAAAAAGAUUAGGAAUGAGGACUAAAACUUGUUGCUUUUGGAAUGGGAUUUUGAGGAAUCGGUUGUGAUUUUGGUAUAAUUUUCUGGUUGGAUGAACCCAAACAGCUUCCGGCUAACGCUGCCUAAUCUGCGACAGGAUGUUUUACGUCAAAGUUGAAUUUUUUUUCACCCGUACUAUCUGAAAUUCAUGUGGCCGUCUCGCAGAUUCCAAGUACAAGAAUUGUGUAAAUCUGGCCAUGAUUGUGAAUCAAAGAGAGAGAAAGUGUAACUGAUAAAAGAAAGAUGUGUGGAUAAAUUAAUUGUACAAUUUCACAUCUCCUGUUUCUGUUGUGCCAAAAUAAUUCAUCUUUUAGGGGUAAUUUCAGAAACCUUGGCACUCGAACUUUGAAAAAUCUCACUUAUGUUGCCUCUCUUACUUUAAGCUUUUUGUUUCAUUUGCAGUCCAUUUUAAUAAAUAAUAUUAACAAAUUUAUUUGAAAGAGUAAAUAUAAUCUCAUUUCAAUAUUGCCCCUUGUUAUCUUAUUUUUUAUUACAAAAACGUGAGUAUAUUAAUAAAAAAUAACAAUAAAAAUAAAAAGUGUGAAGUUUAUUUUGAUUGGAUAAAAUGUAAUACAUUUUUAAAUACCAAGAGUUAAUAUAUGAAAAUUUAUUUGAAAUUUUGCAAGUUACAAAGAUAAUAUUUUCUUUAUUGCAAUAAUGUGUUUUGAGUUAAUUUAAGUUUUAUAAAUCAAUUGCAUUUUUUUGUCCAAAUCGAUAGCUUGAAAGUUGAAAAGAUAUAACAUGCUAAAAAUUAUAUAAAAACUUAUCUCUAUCGUUUUUAAGCCAAUGCAAAAAGGAAUUAUCAUAAUUGUAAAUUAUUACAAGUUAUUUUUAAAAGUAUUGUAAACUAUUCACAAUUUUAAGUAAUUUAACAUUUCUUAUCUGAACCAAUGACUUAAAAGAGUUUUUUGAUCUUGUUAUCAAUCUUUAAACUUUUAUUAAAAAAAAAAACCCAUCAAUCAAUUUUCAAAAAUUAAGAGAUAAAUUUGAUGUGCCAUGACAAUUAACAAAUAACAAGAAAAGGGCAAAUUUGAAUGAAUUUAUCUUUUCCAUUCCAAAAUGAAUUUUUUUAAUAUUAUACUUUGAAAUCGGUUUCAAAUGUUACAAAAAGUUUAUUAGGAAAGUGCAAUUUUUCAAAGUUUAAGGGUACUGAGUGGACCUGUUAAAAACUCAAGGGAGGUUUCUGAAAUCAUCUCUUUCAUCCAACUGCUUUCUCUAUUUUCUUUCCACUUGUUUCUGUGAGUUCGAAAGAAAUCGGAGCCUGUUCGGCUUAUUGUCAAGUUGGCUGCACUGUGAAAGAGCAUAUUGAUAACCAAUGGUAAUCAUCUUGCACGGAGAGAUGUGUGCGGAAGUAAAAACAACUUGCAACGCAUAUAUUAAGGCACAAACUCACAUCCUCAACUGUCAAUGAAUCCUCAAAAGUUAAAAUAGUACUACAAUACUUGCAUUUGUCUAAUAUACUGUCUCUGCUGAAUUUUCCCAGUUGCAGAAACCAGUCUAACUGGAUAGCCAAAGUCCUAUGCAGCUCAAACCCAAAAUUUGUAAAUUCCGACGCAGCAAUAUGUGUGUCAGUGAGAACCAGAACCGAAAUGUCUCAGAAUCUCUCACCAAACCGGAAGAACAAGGCU
rnacentral:lncRNA from 1 species